UUUUUUUUUUUAAUAGAGAGGUCUGUUAACAUGCCCAUAUGGUAUACAGAGUAGUAUAGUUACUUAGUCUUGUUGAAAUGGCUCAGAGGAAGCACAAGUAAAAAAAAUAAUUUUAUGUAUGAUGGUUUCAUAAGCUUUUAUUAAGUCCUGCCAAUGAAAUUACUCUAGAAACAUCUAAUAUGUCUGUUGCAAUAAAAUAUUCUCUAUAACCCAAACCCACUGCCAUCGAGUCCGUUCCAACUCAUAGCGACUCCGUAGUGUUGCCAAGGCUGUAAAUCUCUGUAGAAGCAGACUGUCCCAUCUUUCUCCCAAGGAGCCACAGGUGGUUUAGAACCACUGACCUUUUGGCUAGCAGUUGAUCGUUUUAACCACUGCAGCACCAGGGCUCGGAUUCUAUAUAACAAACCUCUUUACAAGAAAUGGUGAAAAUUAGUUUCAAACAGCUCCACCAAAUAUCAGUAAGGAUCUUUGCAAAAUACUGAGCUAGUAGUUUAGGUUUUUAUUUGGGGAUUUUUAAAAUAUCUGUCAGAAUCAAAUUAGUAUACUUUUUCUACAGCUGUAAUUUGCAGAGUAAUUUAUUAAAUUAUAUGGUUAAAGAUAAUCAUGCCUUCUUUCUAUUUUGCUUAUAUCCAUCUCCUUUAUUUAAAAAUUAUCUGUCAGUACCACAAGGGAACUGAAAAUAGAUCUUUAAAUAUCUAAAUAUCUUUUUUUUUUAACGGAUAGCGAUAAAGCAAUCAUAUGCUUUAAAUUAAUGUGUCGCAAAUUAACGUGGGUUUGUGUGCCUGCUUAAGUCAUGGUAACUACUUAUUAUGCGUGGUAUCUCAUUUAAUCCUAUUAUAACCCUGUGAGAAUUGAGGCUCAGAUUUAUUCAAUAAAUUGCUCUAGGGCACAUAGCUAGUGUUAGAAGCAAAAUGUGAACCCUUGUGCUUGUUCUUUGCAUGAUACUGUGCUUUUUCUUGGAUUUGAGGCGGAGGUGGGGGCAUUGGGGUCCGGGGGAUGAUCAUGAAGGAGCCAUGGUCUGAUCUCAGUGACUAUUCAGCUCUCUUUUCAGCUGUUUAACUUCGUGAGCCAGACAUCUCUUUCAGAGUUCGUUCUUCGCUGUUUUUCAUAGACUCUGGCCAAAUUACUACUCUUGUGUCUAUGCUUAGACCAUGUUUCUUUGCCUACCUGGAGCACCCUUUGCCUCCUGUGUUGUGUCCACUUCAUGACUACAUGUAAUAUUGCAGUAAUUGCCAAAGUGGGAGUGUAUCUUCCCAGAGAACAACUCUUUACUAGCAUUAUUAUUUGGCUUUUAGACAACACAUUGUAUUUAUAGAGUGCUUUUGUUACCAUUUUGUUAGUUAAAUCACACAGAAAUACGAAUUGUUGCCAUCACUGAAGGAUUGGGAAGACUCGUAGAAAGAAUGUGGAGAAACUAAAGGGAGCUCGAGAGAAAUGAAAAUGAUUAAAGAGUUAGAAAAUAACACCUUUGAAAAAUGCUUUAAGAGUAUGAGAUGGUUAAAUUUGGAGGAAGGACGAUGAAGGAAUAACUUCAUGGUUGUCUGAAGAUGAGUUGGGAUGUUAGAAUGUUGAUGAUAGUAAUGGUCUCUACUUCUAAAGAGGAAAGGGUACAGAAAAAAUUAGUUUAAAUGAAAGCAUAAAAUACGUAGGUAGAACUUUAAAUACAAGUCACAUUGCAAAGCUCUGCUAGGUAUCAACUGGAGCCUGCUGAGUGGUUCCAGUGGCUUAGGAGCUUCCCUACUAAAUACAGAUAUUGGACCUCCCUCCCAACCCUGCAGAAACCCUGGUGGCGUAGUGGUUAAGAGCUCCGGCUGCCAACCAAAAGGUUGGCAGUUCAGAUCCAUCAGGCGCUUCUUGGAAACUGUAUGGGGCAGUUCUGCUCUGUCCUAUAGGGUUGCUAUGAGUCGGCAUCAACUUGAUGGCAGUGGGUUGGUUGGUUUAGGUCCCAACCCUGCGUAUUUAAUUUUUUCAUGGAGCUCUACGUUGAAUGGUUUAUUCCAUCAUCCACCAUUUCAAAUGCACCUCAUUAUUAAAGAACAGCUUUUUUACUUGUAAAGCUUUCACACAAGAGUUUUCAGUAUACAGGUAGAGUUCCGAAACUGGGAGUUGUAGGAAACGGUGCUUUGAAAGUGUCCUUAAUUAGAUAUGUUCAUCAAUUAAAAGUAGGUUUCAUAACCAGCUGCAAAUAUAUACCUACACAUAUAUUUAGGACAUCAGUGUCUGUGUUUGCCUGUGUCAGAUGUGAAUUCUGAGCCCGUUUUUGGUAUUUAACUAAGAACUUCAAAGGGAAGUAUUUACUUUUUAUGUUCCUUCCCCUCUCUCCUCGGUACUUCCCAAAUUGUGUCUUUUGGGUAUUUUUAAAAUGCUAAAAUCUUACCUCAUUGUUUCACUAUUAGUCCUUUAUAUAGCCCAAAAUUUGGGUACCUCCGUAAUAAUUAUUGUUAAAAUAUAUUAGUAUUGCCAUUCUAUAGGCUUUAUUUUAUUACUGGAGAUUCCCUCAGGGACAAGGAAAGUGUGUUUCGGGGAAAAAAGUGCAAAUUACAAGGGAGACUGCUUCCCACUUUACUUGGUUUUUGCUAUUCCUAGCAGUUGACUUCAGAGAGAAUUUUUGGAUGUUGGACAAGUGUAAGUCCUGAUGGCAGAGCCAGUGCCCAUGUGCAGCUCUCCUGUCCCGACCGGCUAUUCCUUGAAGGAAGGAUGGCAGUGACUUAACAAAGAGAAGACCAAACCAACCGUUUGCCCUUGAGUUGCUCCCAACUCAUGGUGACCUCAUGUGUGUCCCAGUAGAACUGUGUCCCACAGGGUUUUCAGUGGCUGAUUUUUUAGAAGUAGAUUGCCAGAACUUUCUUCUCUGGGUGAACUCGAACCUCUAACCUUUCAGUUAGCAGCUGAGCACAUUAACUGUUUGCACCACACAGGGGCUCCAACAAAUAGAAGAAGGAAGGUAAAAAUGGAAAUUCAAAAACUCCUGCAGCAGUUGCCUGCUGCCUUCAGGCCCAUGCUCCCAGGCUAAUGGGAGCCGUAACCGAAAGGUUGGUGAUUCAUGGUGUGGUGUUACUACAGGUGUUUACCUCAGAGCGGUGGCAGAGUGCUGGUGCCGUCACGAUCGUUAGGGUUGUGUGUCAGCUUGGCUGGGCUGUGGUUCUCAGUGGUUUGGCAGUCGUGUGAUGAGAUUUGGUAUAACGUGAUCACCUCCACGGUGGCAUCUACUGUGAGUAGCCAGUCAGUUGAAAGGGACUUCCCUUGGAAGCGUGGCCGGCGUCCAGUAUAAACGGACACUCCGACGAGGCUCCCGGGCUUUUGCUCACUCUGGAUUCUGCAGCUGGCGCCUGUUAUCCGACCUCCAAUUCUUGGAGCUUGAGCCGGCAGCUUACCUGCAGCCUUACCUGCUGAGCUUGGAACUCGUUGGUCUCUGCAGCACGUGAGUAAGAGUUCUGCUCUCUGACCGGCGCCGACCUUGAGUUCAUCAGCCCUUGCGGCUUGGUGAAUCAGGAGAAGCCCCUGUCCUGACCAACGGACUUGGGACAUUCCAUGCUCUGCAACCGUGUGAGCCAUUUCCUUGAUAAAAAAAUAUGCUUGUACACUUCAGUGAUUUUGUUUCUCUGGAGAACCCAGCCUAAGACAUCUAGUGUUGGCAUCUGCUUUGAGAAACACAGUUCUGGCAGGUUUUUAGAUGUGGCCCUGUACAGGUCAAGUUUGUACCAGGCUUUCACAGGUGGUGAGACCUGGAGAAGGUCACCUAGUAUUCUCAGGCCUACAGUCUGAUAGAUAUGAGUGGGCUGGUAUCAGUCAGCUCAUUGUGCAAGUUUCUUUUUCUAAACAAAACAACUAGCUGCUUGUUCCUUAUGUUGGAUUUAAUGAAAAGCAACUUGGGAAUGACUUCUCAUGAUGUCUGUAACUUGUAUCUGCGUCUUUCGAAACUGCUUUGAUGGUAGCAUGUUUGGAAGGGACUUUGAUGUACAAACUAAACGUUGGUAGGAUGUUAAAACCUAACAUUUAAGAUGCAGAACUUUUCUUUUUUUGCCAGCUCUCUGGAUAUUGUAAAAUGACACGGUUCAAUCCUAGCUGAGUACUAAGAUUUUUUUAAAACAUAAUUAAGCAUUUUAAUUAUUAUACUUACAACUGGAGGCUGUUUUGACAAUUUGGAAUUCCAUUAUACUUAGAAGGAAAAAAUUCAUGAAAAAAAUAGGCAAUGAAAUUAAAUGCAAACUAGCUUUCUACCUCUGAAUUUCUUAGGAAUACAGAGUUGACCUCUGAGCUGCCACAAAACCAGCCUUCUCACUUCAAGAGUAACCCAGGACUGUCCUCAGUGUUAAAAUUUCCAGUUUAACACACCUGUUUGACUGGGUUUCCUUGGCAACCUUCAAUUCUUCCUUCAGAUUAGAACAGGUAACCCCAACAGGAAAAGCCCCAUAGUACAUGAAUUCAUGCAAAGGGCAGCCUAGACAUUUGAAUAGCAAUGGAAGGCAUCCUUAAAAUGGCACAGAGUGAUAAUUGAUAUUUCAGUCUAUGACCCUUAGUCUUCAAAAAGAGUUCUAUGUUUUGUUUAUUCUGCACAGUAGGAAAAGAAAUAAUUACUGUAAUUUAGACAGAUUUCUGUUUAAAAAUGUCAGUGUUUAAAAAGUCUGAGCCUUUCUUCCCUACUUCUUCCUUUCCUUUUUGUGACAAAGAUUAAUUGCAUUUUUACAGUAUGCCAGACCUGUUCUGGAUACUGUGGAUACAAAGAUGAAUAAAACAUGCUUUUGUCCUUGAAGAGUUUGCUACGUAGUAAUUGAAACAGACAUAUAAGCAAAUAAUUAGAAUACGAUGCAGUAUUUUAAUGAUUGUGUUCAAAAUACUACUAGGGAAGGUAGAAAACGAAAUAAUAAUGAAAUCUUCCUGAGGAGGUGUGGGAGUACCAAGAGGACCUGCUUCAGACAUGGUGAAUUUUCCAGCUACAGCUGCAUUUUCGGGUAGCGUCAGAUAAAUGAGGUGCAACUACACCGUGAAAUAGUCCCAGCCUGGGAUUUAACGUGGUUAUUCCUUUAGGACUUAUUCUGAAAGAAAAAUAUUUUUGUUAGAAAAAAAAUUAUAAGUUAUUUUAGACUGAAAACCAAAACCAAGUUGAUUUUGACCUAAAGCGGCCCUAUGGGACAGAGUAGAACUGCUCUAUAGGGUUUCCAAGGCUGUAAUCUUUAUAGAAGCAGACUGCCAAAUAUUUGUCCCUCAGAGUGGCUGGUGAGUUGGAACUGCCAGCCUUUCAGUUAGUGGCCAAGUGCUUAACCACUACGCCACAAGCGCCUCAUUUUAGACUGAAAAUUGACCAUAUUUGUUUAUUUCAUACUCUGAAGAAUUUUCCUUCUAUAAGUUCAAGUUAUUGUUAAAUAUUUAUAUAGCCAUAGAACCAUUUCAUAUAACAUCAUCUCUUUUCAUGUUAAGUGUGGCUACUACAGUGCACUAUGUGUUCCACCUUACAUAAUUUUAAAAUUUACAUGAUUUGUAUAUAAACUUAAUUUUAUGCAUAAGAAAAAUGCACAGAAGGUACUUAUUAAGGAGCCCCAGUGGUGCAGUAGUUAAGUGCACCGCUGCUAACCAGAAGGUUGGCAAUUCGAACCCACCCAGCAGCUCUGUGGGAGAAACACCUGGCCAUAUAUUCCCAUAAAGAUUGCUAAAACCUGUUGCCAUCAAGUCUGUUCUGCGUCAUAUCGACCCUGUACCACAGAGUAGAAUUGCCCCAUAGAGUUUUCGAGGCUGUAAAUCUUUACAGACGCAAACUGCCACAUCUUUUUCUCUCGGAGUGACUGAUGGGUUCAAACCACAGACCUUUAGGUUAGCAGCUGAGCACUUAACCACUGUGCCACCAGGGCUCCUAUCCCAUAAAGAUUACAGCCUAGAAAACCCUAUGGGGAAGUUCUACUCUAUCACAUGGGUUGCUAUGAGUCAAAAUCAGCUUGAUGGCACGUAACAACCACAACAGGUACUUAUUAUUUGAGGAUAGUUCCAUAAAAAGGCCCCUUAAAAUGAGGUUAUUUAUAAGUGGAAUCAAAUUUUGUAAGGGGUCACUUCCUUAGCGUUUUCUUUGUGUGAUGGCCUUUGUUUCCCAAUGUAUUGUUUUCACAUUGUAGGAACUGGUAUGGGUUAAUGUUUUUUUAGCACAUAAUAGAUUUCAUUUAAUCUCUUAACUAUUUAUGUCAUUAUGAAUCGUCCUCACCUCAUAACAGUUAGAAUUCUAACUUAGAAACCAGACAGAGUAUGAAAUGGCAAAAUUGACUAUGUUGGUGCCGACACCACCUACUCUACGACAAUGAUAAUCAAUGGCUGCCAUUUGUGAAACUCUACUAGGCAGUUUGCAUAGGAAUCCUUCCCACAAUCUCGCCUGUCUUCAAGGAUAAGGAAAUUGCUCAAAGUCACACAGAUGGUGAAUGUCUUGGGAGUUAAAGAUAAGCCAUUCUAAUUCUCAAAUUUCUGCUUUCUUCAUUGCACUAUGUUUUUAUUUGGAGUUAAGAAGCAUUCACUUCAGAGUUUUUUCUUAUAAAUGAAAAUAUAUGUUUUUUUAAUGCAAAGAAUAUAAAAUUUAAUAAACAAAAUUAGAUUAGCCUGAUAUAUAUUACAUUUAUAUAGAGAGUAUUAAGAGUCUUUAAAAAAUUAUGUGUCUUCGUAUUGCUUGUAAUUGAGAGGUGUUCCAUAAAUGCAUAACCCCUGCUUCAGCAGAGUCAAGAGUCAAAUGGAACAGAAGAUGUGGAAUUGACCAAAUUGGAUUCUAGAAACAAAUAAGUCUUAUGAACCAUUAAAAACAACACAAUUCCUUUUAGGAAUUAGGACUCUGAAUAUAGUAAUGUUUUAUAAAAUCGCUCAACUGUGUGAAGUACAUUCAGUUCUAAUAGCUUAUUAUUGUUGUCAAAGGAAGAAUGGGUGUUACGGAUUGAAUUGUGUCCCCCCAAAAUGUGUAUCAGUGUUUCCAGGCCAUGAUUCCCAGUUUGUGUGGUUGUCCAUUUUGUGAUCUGAUGGGAUUAUCCUAUGUGUUGUAAAUCCUAACCUCUAUGAUAUUAAUGAGGUAGGAUCAGAGGCAGUUAUGUCAUGAGGCAGGACCCAAUCUAUAGGAUUACGUUGUGUCUUGAGUCAAUCUCUUUUGAGAUAUAAGAGAGAGAAUUGAGCAGAGGGGAGAAGUACCUCAUUACCACCAAGAAAGAAGCGCCAGGAGUGGAACGUAUCCUUUGGACCUGGAGUCCCUGUGCUGAGAAGCUUCUAGACCAGGGGAAGAUUGUUGACAAGGACUCUCCCGCAGGGCUCACAGAGAGAGAAAGCCUCCGCCCUGGAGCUGCUACCCUGAAUUUGGACUUCUGGCUUCCUAGGCUGUAAGAGAAUAAAUUUCUGUUUGUAAAGCCAUCCAGCUGUGGUAUUUCUGAUACAGCAGCACUAGAUAACUAAGACAGUGGGUAUACCAUUUCCCAGCAUUUACCUCAUGGAAACCUACGAUUGUCUUUAGAAUUGCAGUAUUUUACAAUGUGUAUUAAUGUAUAUUUUUAUAUAACGCAUUACUCUGAAAUAUCAAGAUGCAGCUUUGGCAUAUGCUUGAAUAAAAAGCUUGGAGGAAAUACAGAUAUUUUACUAUGGCUGUGGCCUGGGAUUCCAGAUACCAGUCUUGAUUUAGCCAAUGGCAAGCUUUCAGUUGUUUGAAAGUUUUCUUUCUCGUUCAAACAGCAACUUUGAUCAUAGCCUUUGGUCAGAGAUGCUGUUUAUAUUGUUUAAAAAAAAAAAAAAACUCUACAACAUCAAACAGUAUAUGAGGAAGGAGUCCAAAACUAGCCCUUUGGUCUAGCACACAGAGCUUCUUGGUCCCAUGAAUAAUGGCCUGCCUUGAAAUACGCCUCCUGAGAUCAGUAAAACUUCACAAGUUACCGCUUUCCUGCCUUGGGGUUUUUACUGUUGUCUUCUAGCAUGUAUGAUUAAAUAAUGAUAUAUUUCUUAGCUGUAGCCAUAAGGUAUCACUGAGAUGUCUUUCAGGCUUAGAUCUUUUGGUUUCUUAUAUUCUCUUUUAAGGAAAGUGGUGGGGUUACACUUUUUAAAGCUGCCAGUUUUCUGCAGGUUACUAUUUCACAUACAUACCAUCAUACUUUUGGUUCAGCAUGUCUCCAGGGACUCAUUUAAUUGUUAUUUCUCACUCAGCAUGACUCAGAACUACCAAGCCUGCUGAGGCAUUAAACAUAUUCUUUGGAGAUACUCUUAGGAAUAUGGGAAUAGCUGUAUCAGAGCCAGCCAUCCAGCCAUCACGUCUGGUUUUCUGCCUCGAACACAUUUCUGUGUUGCAUUUAGAGCCAGGCAUUAAAACCCUGUGAGUUGCCUACUUAGGCAAUACUAGCAGAAGGAAAAAAGUUCAUUUUGAUGGCGUCUAGUGAGCUCUUCAUGCCCUGAAGCAUGAGGACUGGUCUGUAAUUUCAGCUAGAUCCCUGCUGGUACAGUUCCCUAAUCCCUAAGCCAAGCUUCUACAGCGGGAACAGAGGUUAACUUUAUAUAACCUUAAAAAAAAAAAAGUCCUCUUAAACCUCUUAGAUAUUUUAUACCUGUUGCCUUUUUAGAUGCUGCUGUUCUCACAUGAGAAGUGGAAAAUGUAAGCUGUACCCAUUGCUAAUUGGUGCUUUAGAGCUGUGAAAAUUUCAGCUCAGUAACCAGAACCUAUGCCUGCUCUUCUGUGUUUUGUUUCCGCAUCUUUUUACCAAAAGUAACAUUUUUAAAAACCAAAGGUUUACCGAAGUUCGUUUGUUUUGUUUUUGAGGUCCCAGUGUCCAUGCUUCUUUAUUUUAUUUUUUUCUAUUAUCCUUCCAUGUUCUUUGGAGAACUUUGUGUCACUUCUCAGUUCUGUAUUGCUUUUCUGCCUUGAGUUUCCUUUUCUGUGUUUUUAGUUUGUCUGCGUUUUGAAUUAUCAUCAUCUUUUCAUGUGACGUUCUAGUGUGACUCCAUCCCAGUUGAGCCCAAUAGACAACUGUCCCACCACCUGCUUGUCCGUGUCACCCUGCUUAGAGUCAGCACAUGAAUCAUUGAAAUGAAUUGAGUAUAGAUAGUAACGCUAGUUUGGAUAACUAAAGAAACGUCAACUAAUAGAAUUUUUAAAAAUUCAAACAAACCACAUUAUAGUAAUGGGAAUUUAGAAACGGGGUGGCCUUGCUGCUAUCUAGCCAUUGUAUAUAAAUUAUUCUAGGAAAUAUGAUAGCAUCAAAUUCAUGAUAGAAAAUUUCUAGAUGCAUUUUGCUGUAUUUUCCUAGGAGUGGUGUGAAAGGAAGAAUGGGUGGAUGUAUUCUGUGAAACGGUGAGAAAACAGGGAUCUGUGAGAAUUUCAUUUUAGUAUUUAAGGUCCUGGGAUGGAGGUGGAGGAAAUCAUGAGCUCUCCACCAGUGGUGGAGAUGGAACUCCUGGAGUCAUUUGAAUAUAAGCAGAAGGGUGGGGUGAGUUCUGGAACUAGGAAGAAAAAGAGAUGAGGAAGACAAUCAAAGGAUAACUGAGUGGAAGGCACCAGGAGGAAGACAAUAGACAAAUGAAAGAUGGACUUUGGAGGUAGCUUCCUUGUAAAAAGGGACAGGGUGAAAGUAAAGAUAGAAUACAAAAACAAGUGAGGCUAUUAUAACUAUAAACAUUUUAAGAAGAUGAACUAGGAAUAUUAGAGUGAGUGACUAACAUUUUUCAUAUAGAGUAGACUCUACAACCAGUUGUGGGCAUAUUUUUAAUGGAUUUUUUUGGGUUGUGGAAUACUUAAACCCUACAGCAUUAUGGACAGUUUGUAUUUUCCAGUCAAUACAAUUGCUUAGGUCUUUGUAUUUUCUCAAUUACAUAUAUCCCUGGAGUAGCGAGUUUUCUACCAUGGCAACUGUGUCAUUGUUAUAUAAUUAUUCACUUAUCCAUGAAAUAGAAGUUUUUUUUUUUUUUUUUUUUAAAUAGGAUAUGAAGGAAUAAGGCCAAAAAAAAAAACACAAAAACAAAAAGGGAGGAGAAUUAUUCUGGAAAUAUAUUGGUGGUGGGGGGGGCAAGAAAGAGGGGACUUGCCAUCAGAAAACGGAUCUAGUUGUUUAUAUAAAAUUGGAGGUGAGUUGAGAAUAGCUAGAGAACCAAAACUUCUGAAAAAUAAUAAAGAUAGUUUGAGAGGGAAUUCUGGAGUAAUGGAACUGUUCAUUACCUUGACCUGAGUGCUGAUUCCAUGGGUGCUUUCCUACCUUAAAAGUCACUGAGCCAAACAAUAUUUACACAUUUUGCUGUAUAUAAAUUAUAUCUCAAUUUUUAAAAUGUGGGGAGAGGAAAAACCUACUUGAACUUUAAUGGGUGCUCCAGACAGAGAUAUUUUGUUAUCUACUAGAUACAUACCUAGUAACAUCUUUGAUGUUACUUUUUAAACGUUCUAUAAAGUGAUGCCUUAGGAAGAACAGGUAGCCAAUACAAUUCAUUUAUAGCUGUCAAGAGUGGAAAUUUCCCAACACUAACCUCUGUCUCAGAUUCCUGCUGUCGCUGCCGCACUGUUAGUUGGUAUCAGCAGGGGGUUAACAGCGCUCAGUUUAACCUUGCUAUUUGUACUCUGUUUUGAAUUUUGGUCUCUUUCCUCAUUUACCUUCCUUACAUGGAUUUCCCAUUUUAAAGAUCAUGUCUGCACCCUGGGGUGUGGACAGUGAAAGACUUGUGCAGAUAAGCACACAAUAAAAGCACAUUUAAAGAUAAUGUGAAGCUACUAGACCUUUCUUUUAUUGCCAGGAACGUGGUGAAAAUCAUAGGAACAAGAGAAAAAUUGAGUAAGCCUACUCAUGCUGUUAUUUUCCAUGAGGGUUAUAAACCUAUUUAAAAUGUAUAAGAACUAUAUGGGUAUGGAUUAAUUAUAGAUUAUAUAUCCAGGUGUAGGGACAUCUCUGUAACUGCUCUGUUCUACAGCUGGCUGUGGACAGAGGGACAUCUCAUCAGGGACACUUCUUUUCCUUCUCCCAUAUUAAAAUUAUGGAAUCUCUUAUGGCCAGAGACUGUAUCUACCACCACUCUUCCAAUUUCAUUCCUCUCUCACCGCUACCUCAGUUUUUCUAUCUUGUUAAUGCUGAGUCCAUCCUGUUCAAAAGACAGUCUUCAGUAGCAGGAUAGGGAGGAAAGGAUGACUUUAAGGGGGGUGUCUCAACUCCCCCCUCCCCCUGUGGAAGCUGUUUCCUCUGGGUAGAUCUCCGUGGAUUCCUGGUGAACCUAAAAACUCACUACUCUUAUAAAUUGUCUUUGUCUUUCUCUGAGUGAGUAGUGAGUAAAAGACCUGGUUGAUGGAAAGGAAAGAUGACUCAACUUCUGGGAGUUCUGUAAGAACAGGCAUAAUAGGACACUAUUCAGUGGACUUUAAACAGGAGGGCGAUCCAGACUCUCAGACCUCAAUCUCUUCCAUUUCCAGCCACUGGUUUACACAGCUCCAGCAUACCCUUCCUCUAGUUUGGAGCCCAGGAGUCCACUGAUUUACACAGCCGCAGUGUACCUUCCUCUAGUUUGGAGCCCAGGAGUCCACUGGUUUACAGAGCUCCAGCGUACCCUUCCUCUGGUUUGGAGCCCAGGAGUCCACUGGUUUACACAGCUCCAGCGUACCUUCCUCUAGUUUGGGGCCCAGGAGUCCACUGGUUUACAGAGCUCCAGCGUACCCUUCCUCUAGUUUGAAGCCCAGGAGUCCACUGGUUUACAGAGCUCCAGCGUACCCUUCCUCUAGUUUGGAGCCCAGGAGUCCACUGGUUUACACAGCUCCAGCGUACCUUCCUCUAGUUUGGAGCCCAGGAGUCCACUGGUUUACAGAGCUCCAGCGUACCCUUCCUCUAGUUUGGAGCCCAGGAGUCCACUGGUUUACAGAGCUCCAGCGUACCCUUUCUCUCGUUUGGAGCCCAGGAGUCCACUGGUUUACAGAGCUCCAGCGUACCCUUCCUCUGGUUUGGAGCCCAGGAGUCCACUGGUUUACACAGCUCCAGCGUACCUUCCUCUAGUUUGGGGCCCAGGAGUCCACUGGUUUACAGAGCUCCAGCGUACCCUUCCUCUAGUUUGAAGCCCAGGAGUCCACUGGUUUACAGAGCUCCAGCGUACCCUUCCUCUAGUUUGGAGCCCAGGAGUCCACUGGUUUACACAGCCCCAGUGUACCUUCCUCUGGUUUGGAGCCCAGGAGUCCACUGGUUUACAGAGCUCCAGCGUACCCUUUCUCUAGUUUGGAGCCCAGGAGUCCACUGGUUUACACAGCCCCAGUAUACCUUCCUCUGGUUUGGAGCCCAAAAGUCCACUGGUUUACACAGCUCCAGCGUACCUUCCUCUAGUUUGGAGCCCAGGAGUCCACUGGUUUACAGAGCUCCAGCGUACCCUUCCUCUAGUUUGGAGCCCAGGAGUCCACUGGUUUACAGAGCUCCAGCGUACCCUUUCUCUCGUUUGGAGCCCAGGAGUCCACUGGUUUACACAGCCCCAGUAUACCUUCCUCUGGUUUGGAGCCCAGAAGUCCACUGGUUUACACAGCUCCAGCGUACCUUCCUCUAGUUUGGAGCCCAGGAGUCCACUGGUUUACAGAGCUCCAGCGUACCCUUCCUCUAGUUUGGAGCCCAGGAGUCCACUGGUUUACAGAGCUCUAGCGUACCCUUCCUCUAGUUUGGAGCCCAGAAGUCCACUGGUUUCAUCUGCGUGUACCAUGCACUCUGCUAGGUGUUAGAGACAGCAAAGUGGGCAGAAAAAAAAAAAAAAAGUUGAGGGAAACCCAGCCUUCAUUGUUUGUAGCAGGGACACAUGAAUUCUGUUAUCCCAAGUGGGAAUUCUAAAAAGGAUUUCUCCUGAAAUACAUUGCUUUGUGAUUAGGGAUUAUGAUAACUCAGGUAUUAUACUGUAAUAUUAUAGUAUAGUAGGUUAGGGUGAUAUUUUAAAAGCUGUCACUUAAAGAUGUCACUUUGAUGACUAGGGUGAGCCUGACACAAGCCAUGGUAAUUUUCAACUGGACAAUUGAAAAGGAAGACAAAAGGAGAAUUGGUGAAUUCAAAUUGUUAUGUUGGUGAAGAAUAUGCGGACUGCUAGAAAAAUGAACAAACCAGUCUUGGAAGAAGUACAGCCAGAAUGUACCUUAGACCCUCCGAGGAUGGUGACUCUUCAUCUCGCUUAGUUUGGCCAUGUCAUUAAGAAGACUAAUCCCUAGAAAAGCACAUUAUGUUUGGUAAAGUAGAAGGCCAACGAAAACGAGAAAAACCCUCAGUGAGAUGGAUUGAUACAACAGCUGAAACAAUGGGUUCCGACAUACGAUCAGGUAGACGGCGCAGGACAGGCAACAUUUUGUUCCCUUAUGCAUAAGGUCGCUGUAAGAUUGAGCUGACUUGAUUGGUAACUGACAACAGGAUCAUAUAUAUCCUGGCUGAUACCCGCUGUCCUUGCAUAGUAAUUAUUAAAAUAUCACCCCCUUUUAUUCCAUAAAAGUUUGUAUGAUAUAUGAUUAUAACCCGAAGCCUGGUGCCGCAGGGGUUAAGAGCUCGGCUGCUAACCACUUUGAAUCCACCAGCUGCUCCUUGGAAACCCUGUGGGGCCAUUCUGCUCUGCCCUGUAGGGUUGCUGUAUGUCAGAAUCAACUCAAUGGCAACGGUUUUUUGGGGUUUAUAGUUAUAACAAAAAUAGACUUUUUAGAGAAGAGAGGUAUUAACUAAAAAAGGUGAGAAUAUCAAUAUAUAGCUUCAGGUAUUUCAAAGUUGUUGUAGUGGCAGUGACGUUUAAAAAUAUCCUAACUGUAAAUGUUCGUUGAAGGCGGCCUGGUGGCACAGCACUCAGGUCCUGACCGAAAGGUUGGUGGCUUGAACCCGCCCAGCAGCUCUGUGGGUGAAAGACCUGGCAGUCUGCUUCUGUAAAGAUUACCAAAAAAGCCCGGAACCCACUGCUGUCAAGUUGAUUCUGACCUUUCGGCUACCAGCCGAGCCCCUAACCACUGCGCCACAGUGAAGAUUACUGCCUAGAAAAUCCUAUGGGGCAGUUCUGCUCUGUCACGUGGGGUCGCCGUGAGUCGAAAUCGACUUGAAGGCAUCCAGGAACAAAAUGUCCAUCGAAUGUUCUUUAGAACAAAACAACUUUUUGGAAAAAAGGGUGAUUGCUACUAUGACGUAAUUCCUACAUGGUGCCAAAGCACCUAAUCUAAUAUUUAAGAUAGUCAAAUGUGAUGCAUAAAAUUUUUUAACAGAAUGAGUCAGCAUCUCAGUUAGGAACUUCAGCUUUUAGAGUAAAAUUGAAUGUUUAAAUUUUCCUUUUUCCCACUUAUAAUUAAAGUUAAUGAAUCAUGAGCCUUCAUUUAACAUUGCUUAACCCAUGUAAAAUAUAGAAAACAAAUAAUGAUUAAAAACAGAGGUAUUGUUUUUAGGAGAUAAAUGCUUUAUAUUUGUCUUUUUAAUUUACCUUUUAAAAAGAUAGAUUACUUCAAGUAAAUUAUUUUUCACAUUUAAAUGAAUAGGUAUGAAGUCGAGCAAGUAAAACAUAUCUUAGUAAGAAAACAAUUUAUUUUCUGAUUUAAUACUAAUCAACCAUUGCUAAUGUGCUAUAAAAUCCCACUUAGGAGAGAUACUAACUCCAAUUAUUAAAGUUAAUGGCCUACAGUUGCCUCAUCUUGCCUUAGUCUAGGAUAUUAAGCAGGCAGAACCCAUAAUUUAAUUAUCACCUGUUAAUAUUGGCUCUCAGUUCAUUUCUUUCCUUUCAGGAUGAAGCUUUAGUGAUGAGCCAAUUAAAAGCUAUUAUCUUCCUACUCAAAACACCAGCCUGCUAGCUACACCCACAGUUGACAGACCUGCUGGGACUUUCAGGAUGGAACUUGGUGCUGCUUGCCUUUAGGGAUUGCUCAAUGAAAGGAAAUGGCUAUUUUUGUCCAUUUAUAUUUCUAAUUUUUUAAACUUCCAAGCUUUUAUGAAGAUGGUAUCUUUGAAAGAUAUAUUUAUAUACCUUAAAGGCAAUUAGAGAGGGAUACUAUUCUACCAUAAUAGGCAGAACCAAAAAAGAAACCUAGACUCUUACUUCUAUUUGGACACGUAAACCCCUUGCCGUCAUGUGGAUUCUAAGUCAUAGCAACCCUAUAGGACAGAGUAGAACUUCCUCAUAGGGUUUCCAAGGAGUGGCUGGUGGAUUCAUACUACCAACCUUUUGGCUAGCAGCUGAGCUCUCAACCACUGUGCCACCAGGGCUCCUUGGACAUCAUAAGGUAUAACAAACGUUACAGAAUGUGGUACAACAAGAGGGUUACCUCAUCAAAUCCCACUGAGAUGCACUAGAGAAACAUGCAGUCAUUUUACAGGAAAUUAUUAGAAGUUUAAAUUUUGUCGCUUGUACCCUCCUGAUAUAUGUACCAUUCCACUGAAAUCUAAUUUUAUCAAUUCACUCAUGGGAAUCAAACUCUGGGAAAUUAAUUUGUGCUAACCAAACUCAGAAGAGGUUGAUUUAUAAACUAGUGAAUCACUUUUUAAUUUAUCGUGGGAAUGUUACCAGAUCCAAGAACCAGAAAAAUUCACCAGGUGUGUUUGAGUUCCCACUGCCCUCAGUGUAGACAUUACAGUGAAUACCAAGGGGAGAAACAGCCUCAGUGAAUUUAUAACCUGGUUGGAGGGCUUAGACCACAAACCAACCAAAACCAAACCCGGUGCCAUCAAGUCGAUUCUGACUCAUAGCGACCCUAUAGGACAGAUUAGAACCGCCCCAUAGAGUUUCCAAGGAGCGCCUCAGGGAUUCGAACUGCCGACCUCUUGCUUAGCAGCCAUAGCACUUAAUCACUACACCAGCAGGGUUUCCGGCUUAGACCACAGUAGGUAAAAUACGAGUUAGGCUACAGUGAAAGACAGGAGUGAUGUCUCAUUUCCUUCUGCUAGGUGGACUGUCAGUUGGGGAACCAUAUUACACGUUAGGUGGAUUUUUUUAGUUGAUGUGUUUUAAGGAAUAUUUUUUUCAAGCCACUAUUGGUUAAUGAAUUGUCUUUUCCUUUUUCUCUGCAUGUUUCUGUGUAAAGAACCAGGACUUGCCCUCUAUAAUGAGCACAUCUUUGCUCAUACAUACGCUAUAGAUGUACAACCAGAGCUGUAAAGCUCUGUGUCUAGAUCCUUGAAAACUCCAUGCUCCCUGCAGUUACCACCUCAGCUUCUGUAUUUCUGUACUGUAUGGUCUCAGCUAACUUGGAGGUUAAUUCCGAAGUUAACACAAAAGGGAAAAUUUAUAUAUAGCCAGUGUGCUCUUAAAAUCCCACAAGUAGCCUAUAAAUUAGAGUAAUGCGACUUUAGUAAAACAGUGUUCAGCAAUAUGAAUGUUUAGUAGAACAUGAUAUGUAAUAACGAGUACAUAAAGUGUCUUCAUUGCAGCAAUUUAAUUUGGAGGGGUAUUUUAAUAAAGGUGUUUUUGUAAAUAUGUAUACAUAUACAGAGAGAGAGACAGCCAUAGUUAGUCCUUGGUAUGUACCCUACUACUAGGCAGAAAGUUGGCAGUCCAUCCAGAGGCACUGUGGAAGACAAGCCUGGUGACCUGCUUCCGAAAGAAAGGUCACAGCUUUGGAAACCCUGUGGAGCAAUUCCACUCUGACACACGGGUCACCAUGAAUUAGAAUCAACUCGGUGGCAACUAACAGUAUUUUGUAUAGGUGUGUUUGUGUGUAAUGCAAAUCCUCUGUCAUAAUAUUCAUGUUUGCAGUUUUCUUCUAUUUAUUAGAUCUUAGGUGGGCCACUGUCUAACAAAAUGUUCUGGAGUACCUGUCUUUCACAUCACAAGAUGAGUGUGCUUCUUUUGAGGAGCUUUCCUAUAAUCGGUUUAUUUUAUACGUUUCGUGUCAAUUUCUAUUAACUUCAGUCACAGACAUGGAUCCUAGAUUUGGAGGUUAAAUGUCAGUAGUCCUACUCUUUUUUAAUUACUUUGUUCCCCAACAUAUACCAUGCCGCUGGCUGGCAUUGGGCCUGUGUUCUGUCUCUGAUUAUGGAUAGGAUAAAGCUGAACGAGCCUCCAAGGAAGUCAGACCCUUUGACCUUGAUGUCAUUUGCGGUGCACUCAGUCAGCUGAGCCUCAGCACCCCAUACCUGGAAGAAUGACAAAGUCGUUUCGUUUGGCAAGGACACUGGAUCAGGAGUAGUUUUGUGUGUAUGUUUUAGCUUGCAUCUCAAGUGUGUUACUGUGUGGUUUUCUUCACUGUAAUAGUAAUUUUUAACGAUAGUGUUGAUAGCACUAAUUGUUCCCUGAUCAUCCUCACAGUGAGGUAGGUAAAUGUAGAUAAUAUUUCUCCCUUUAGGAGACCAAAGUUUGAAGACUUUGCAAAAGCCUUGAUUUUAAAGCCAGUGGCAGACCUAGACCUGAAUUUAUGACUGUGAGUUUGCCCCAUCAGAUUGAUCAGUGGUCUCUUGAUUAGAUCACGCCAUUCUGGAGAAUAUCGAGGGGACCUGUUGAAAGAUGGUUUCUAGGAUCUGGCACUGAACAUGUGUGAGCUCAGGCUCUGGGAUCCAGCAAUUGAGCGUGAAUUUCACCUGUUGCACUUAUUGGCUGGGUGACCUCCACCAAAUUAAACCUUCCAAGCCUCAGUUCCUCAUCUCCUUUAGAGUUUUUGAGACAAUUAAAUGAAACAAUAUUAGAUAAAGUACUUAGCAUAGUACCCUCGUAUAUGAUGAGUCUGUUAUUAUUUGUGUUUUUUUUUUAAUCUUAAUAAGGAUAUUUGAAAUUUCAAGUUUUCAACAGAUAUAUAUGUCUCUUAUAUGUGCAUGAGUCAAAAUUGACUGGACGACAAUGAGUUUGGUUUUUUUGGUAUAUGUGCAUGUACAUUGGCAAAUGAAACCUUUACUAAAUUCAGUUUUUCUCCCUAGGAAUUACCUAUAUAUAUAAAACUACCUGUAUGCUCAUGGAGACCCACGUAACCACUUCUACGAUAUUUUUAUACAAAUAACGUGAGCCUUCUGCGUGCGUUUGUUGGCUGUGCCCUCCCCCCGUGAGACACCCUCACAAGCUCCACCAUGCCAAUACUCUUCUACAUGUUGCUGUAAAAAAAAAAAAAAAAAAAAGCGUUCACCCAAAACACAAUAAUAAUUAAAAAAAAAAAAAAUUAGCAUACCACACUUACAGAAGUCCCUCGAGUGGGGAGGGUGUAGCUGGCAAACAAAUGCAGAAGGUGAGCGUCAAGACCAAAAAACCAAAUCCAGUGCCGUCGAGUCGAUUCCAACUCAUAGGUGAGCAUUAUUUGCGUAAAAAUAUGGUAUUCCCAAUACCUAUUUUUGAUAUUUUAAAGCUUAUUAUCCCUCCUGUAACAGUUUCUGAAUCUGCUAUUACAUAAAGUAUAUUAUUACAGUUGAGAGGUAUUAAAAGCAGAACAGGAAACCACACAAAUUUCUUAAAAUAAGAAUACAGAGUAAGCUCAGACACAUGUUGUUUAUGUAUGUAUCUAAAAGGGAAAUAUAAUCAGGGAGUAGAACAUACUCAAAACUAACCACAAAUGAUGAGUAAAACAAAUACCACCGUUUACCUUAAAAUUACUCACAUCUUACUUUCAUUAGUAUAUGCAGGAAUUUGAUUAAAAUACUCACAAAAUUUUUUCAAAGCUGCUACGUGUGCCCCAACCGAAUAAUUCUGCUGUAGUGUAGAUUAUACCCUAAAACAUAUACCUGAAGCUGAAUAUGUGGGACUGCUUUGUCCUUCCAAGCCACAAAAGCCUGCAUCCUAUGUGACCAAACUCUGUCCUCUGCAGGUACAAACCCAUGCUUCUCAGAGCUUGGUAUAUGAGCUGUUGGUGGCACAUGUACAUGUAUUCAAACUGUUUGUAAGUAGCUCUCAAGUUCUUUUAUUCAUGGAGAAUAAAUUUCAUGAUCACCUGUUAAAUUCACCGGUGAAUUGUCUUUUGUUUUUGAAUUGAUAAAGUUUCUCUUUGAGAUGCAUUUACUUACGUUUUAAAAAGGUGUUGAUUAAAAAGUUCAGGAUGAAAACUAGUAUGGGAAUAGGGCAAAAAACACAAAUGUUACAUGCAGUUGGCUGAAGUUUUAGAGACUCUGACCUAAGCAAACCAAAACCAAACCCACCGCCAAGUGGAGUCAGUUCCAACUCAUAGAGACCCUUUAGGACAGAGUAGAACUUCCCCACAGAGUUCCGAAGGCCGUACGUAGUCUUUACUGAAGCAGACUGCCACAUCCUCCUCCUGUGGAGCUGCUGGGGGGUUCAAACCAUUGAGCUUUUGGUUAGCAGCUGAGUGCUUUAACCACUGUGCCACCAGGGCUCCGGUAAACAAAGGCGGAUAAUUGAUAACAUUUUAACUUAAAUAUUUUUGAUAUACAAGUUUUACUUAAUAAUAUUAAUAGUUAUCUUAUUUGACAAAUCUCUGUGACUCCUUUUAACUAUUGCAUUUUUAGUUGCACUGAUUUGUGGACGUUUGUGCAAAUUCUGUGUUGUGAUCUAUACACUCUUAGUGACUGAAGUGUUUCCUCUAAAAGUAGUACUGCUAUAUAUAUCUUUUGGGUGGAUGGCUUUCAAAAAAUGCGUUGAUACUUAUUGUAUUGUCAUGAGAUUGAAUAUCUGUGGCCAGUAAGAGAAAUUUUAAAGUACAUAGUUAAAAAGUAGCUCUUCACACCUGAAGAAAUGUUCUCGUGUUUCCCCGUUUCUUCAAAAUUAUGUAUUUAUUGAGCUCUUCUAUCUCAGCCAUGAUGCUGAACUCUUUUAAGUGUAGAGUGGUAAAUCAAAUAGACUUGAUUCCUACCCUUCUGAACCAUUCAGCUAAUAGCCGAGGUGGACAUUAGACAGUUCAACACACUUCUCUGAGGAGGUAUUAAAUUGAAAAUCUAAAGAGCAAGAGGUGGAGUGAGGUCCAAGCAGAAGGAUCAAAUGCAGAGAUCUGAGUUGUUGGCCUGUUCAGCAGGAGCUUUUGUGAACAAGAGGAAGAGUAGUGAGAGAUCAGACUGGAAAGGUAGACAGGACCAGUUUGGGAGUCUUCCUUCUAGAUGUUAUCUCUUUAUAAUAAGUUAACUCUCAGUGAAACUACAGUAGAGCAAAAGUUGUCGGUUUAUCUUGAAUAUAAAGGAAAGAAAUACUAAGAAAUUUGAGUACCAUGAAAAAUUCCAUUAAAUUGCUAAGCUUCUCCAUUAAGAAUAAAAACAACAGCAUCAUUUUGUUGAAAUUGCCACAAAAAGGGUCUCUAACUGCUCAACUUACCUAGGUUUCUACAGGCAGAUGGCCCUUGGGGAGGUGCCAUAGGAAUUCCCUUCAAUCUGUAACAAUGCUUUGAAUUUCCCACUCCUUCCCAGUUUGGGGAAACUGCUGUCUGUAACCACAGUGCCACACCUGUCAUGUUUUCCCUUGAAUCUAGGAAGAAAAUGCAGAACCGGGUCCUUAGUGACAGUGGAAAGAAGAGGGAAGAAGAAGGGGAGGCUGGGAAGAAGAAGAAGAGGCUGGGAAGAAGAAGGAGAGGCUGGGAAGAAGAAGGAGAGGCUGGGAAGAAGGAUAGGCUAUUCAAGGAUAACUUCUCUCUUGGGUUCAGUCCUUUCAUUUCUUCUCCAACAGGACUCCCUGCCCUAUGCGUUUUCUUCAUAUUUAACACACACAUGGUAACCUGUUAUGUUCAACACUCUACAGCCUUUGUCAGAUAAGAACUUCCUGAGAAUUGGCGUCCCUGACCUUUAUCCUCUGUAGUCGAAUUUUCAGCUUCCUUUUUUUUUUGGGCCCCAUUCCUUACUUCAGCUCUCUAGGAGUACUUAUGCACCUACAGUCAAUGAUUUUGAUCUGGGGGUUCUUGGUCUGUAUAAAUGGUGUACAUACCUUGCUUGUAUUGUACUUUUGAGUAUACCUUCCCUUGAUUCAGAAUUGGAUUCUCCAAUGAUACUCUGUAUUUCAGGUACAUUAUGGUGUAAAUGAUUUUUUAGGAACUAUUGUGGGAAAGAUUCCCACAUUUAUGAAGUAAUUGGGUAAGUGGAUUCCAGACCCUAAGCAGCUAAGGUCGAUAGACCAAGUUUUGAAAUAUAAUGAGUUUAAAAGUUGGGAACUGCUUGAACUAAACUAUAUUCUCAUUUUCAGUGUUCCUGUUCUGUGUAACUUGUGAGUCCACAGUGUUGUCAUUGAUGGUUUGUUGAUGUUAGUGAAUAGAGCCUCCAUGUGUCCUGCCCUCAUAACUGAAAAGGGAUCAAACUGCUUUAGGGAAAACAUCUGUGAGGUGCUGAAUGUUGUGUGUGAGUCAUUCCUUAAGACCCCUCCUUUGCUCUGCAUGGCCUUCCUGCCAGUACCCUGACUGGGUAAAAUUCAGCUGGACAAUCAAUAAGGAAGACCAAAGAAGAAUUGAUGCCUUUGAAUUGUGGUGUUGGUGGAGCGUAUUGAAUAUACCAUUGAUUGCCAGAAGAAGGAACAAAUCUGUCUUGGAAGAACUGUAGCCAGAAUGCUCUUUAGAAGCAAGGAUGGUGAGACUUCAUCUCACUUACUUUGGACCUGUUGUCAGUCCCUGGAGAAGGACAGGGUCAGGGAGAAAGAGGAAGACCUUCAAUGAAAUGGAUUGACACGGUGGCUGCAACAGUGGGCUCAGGCAUAACAGCAAUCAUGAGGAUGGCGCGGGACCAGGCAGUGUUUCGUUCUGUUGUACGUAGGGUCGCCAUGAGCUGAAACCCACUCUGUGGCAGCCAAGAACAUCAACAGCAAGAAGUUUCAUAUAUGCUUAUUUUCUUUUAGAUAAAAAUAAAAGUUUUUUUUUUUGUGUGUGUGUGUGUGGGUAUAGUGUUGGUUGUAUUAGAAAAUAUGUUUUUUAAUGUCGAUUUCCCAGUGUUAAAGAUUUGGAGAGUGGAGAAAGAUGUAGAUUGAGGAGGUGGAAGAGGGUGUAGGGGAGGCUGCUGACCACAAGAAAUCUCACAGGUUAUGUUGGUCUGAGGAUUCUUUUCCACCCUCUUGCUCUUUCUCAAUCCUUGGGAUAACUUAUUCUAACAUAAGAAUAAUAAUUACAUAACCCAUUUUUUAAAACAGCUGUUGCAGCCUGAGAUAUUAAUUUAAAAAAAAGGGCAAGUCACAAAAGGCAUUGUAAUCCAUGUUAAGGAGUUUAUGCUUUAUCUGAAGGCAAAAGAAUAGCUGCAGAGUUUUUUAAGUAAGAGUAACAUUUUCAGGUCGGAGUUUUGGGAAGUACUGGCAGAACUGGAAGGAUGGAUUUGAAGGAAGAAAAGUAGAAGCGGGAAGAGUGGGUAGGCUAUUACUGCAUUCGUAGGGGUGAGAAAUGAUUGUAUGCAGAGUAGGAAGAGUAAAGGACUGGGGGUUUUGACUUAAGCCAUGAGUAGAUGGUAUGUAUGUUUCUGUUUUUUUUAAGAGUGAUAGAGUGGUAAUUCAACUUUGAACAUACUGAGUUUGAGGUGUCUUUGGGACAUCCAAGCGGAAAUGUUAGUAGGUGAUCGAACACAUACAUUAGCCAACAUAGAGGAAAGAGCUGGGAGUAUGGAUUUGGAAGUCCAGGUGGAAGAAAGUGAUUGAAUACAGGGAAGCAGGUGAAGUUACCAAUGACAAGUCUAUAGAGUGAAAGAGAAGUUAACUGGCUUUCAAGGGAGGAGUGGAUGAAGUAGUUAGGGCUUCUCAUUCCCCCUUAUUGAUGAAAAUAAAAGCGUUUGAAAGGAAAUUAAUAAUAACUUUUAAAGUACCUGCCCUUUUCCAAUUUAUAUUUCAAAAUAUUCUCGAAAGUUUUCAACUAAUUCCUCAUCCACUGUAAUAAAGUUCUUCGUCCCACUUAGUAAAUUGCCCUUUUUCAUGCUGUUUAUAUAAAAUCAUCCUUUUGUUUGUGUUGAAGCCGUUGUUCAUACACUGUGUCCCUGUUUGCCAGCAAUUGUUCUAAAAUCAUGUUCUUUUCAAUAGCUUUGCGGCAAAGGGAUCACUUAAUUUCUGACUAUUGUAGUCCCUUCUUUCUUCUGUUUUGUCUAAUUACUAGUCUUAUAUUGCAGUGGUUAUCUGUCUUUUCUCAUAGCAAAUGUCCAUUAUUUUAGGUGUAUCACGAGUUAAGUUGACACCUCUGGGCCAGUCUGUGAACCUAUUAUUUAUUGUUUCUCUGGGAAAAUGUGUUCUGAGUUUCUGUUGCUUAUUUUGAAGAAAUACUUGAGGUGUAACCUUCUUGUAAAUUAGGAGACUGGCUCUAUCUAUAAAAUACAGCUUCUUAUGGACACUUAUUUGUCCCAGCCUUCCCUCCUCUCUUAAAGUUUGAUGAUAUACCCUUAUGGCACUGGAUUUUUAACUAAAUUAUUCCAUAUUAUCGUGCCAUUAUAACUUGCUCAUAGAUAAACGAACAAGGAAAUAGUUUGUGUGCCCAUCAAUGAAUGCGUUAUUUCUAAUAGGAUGAUAUAAAGCAAACAAGGUUUUAAUUUCAUGUCACAGAAAAGGAUUAAUAAAUUAACUCCACAGUUUAUCCACUUAACAUGCUCCCAGUGUUUUCUUAUACUGGAAGAGAGAAACAUUUUGACAUUGGAAAAUUAACCCUUUGGGCAUUUGAUGUUACUUUUAAAACCAAACCAACGUAACUUUAAUUUCUGUUAAAAUGAGUGAUUAAGGUUGUUGAUACCUUGAUAAGAUCCUAUUUCUGGUAGUGUUUGUGAAUUGCUUUAAAGAAAAGGCUAAUUCAUCUUUUUCAUCAUGGUUUCAUUAAAUUGUCCUUUGAUUUGAAUUGCAGCAAUUAUUUGUACUCUCUGUCGCUGUUCACAAGCAACUGUUUGAGAAUCAUGUUCUUUUCAGUAGCUUGGCUGCAAAGGGCUCGCUUCAUUUCUGGCUGUUGGAGUCACAGGAACAGCUGUUUACCGCUGCCCAGAGCUGUGUCUUAGCAUUGGAUGCUGUGACUCAGUGUGCCCUUAGAACACUCCUUCUGUCCUCCUGGUUCAUGGUCUCCCCGAGUGAGAUCACCAUGCAGCAGCUGCCUGGACAGCCUUCUGCCGUCUAUUUUCAGUAGUGUUAUAUAUCUUCCCGCAUUGCUUCAAGGAUGAUAAACUGGCUGGACUCCAGGGCUUGUGCCGUAAUCCUGCCUUGUCAUUUAAUGUUAAGUGCAUCUCACAGCUGACACGGAUGAAACAGCUUAAGAAAUCAGAUAUGAUCUCUGGCAGAGCUAAAUCUCACUUUUGGAUGCAGGAUUAGGUUCUGUUUUGAUCAGCUUCAGGGCAAAUAUUUGUAUUCUUUCUAAUAUAUGUGUCACAUCUUUUCUACUCAUCAGUCCAUUCUCUCAUACUUUUGACUCCUGAGAUGCAUUAAACAAAACAAACAAAAAACCUAUUGCCAUUGAGUCGAUUUUGACUCACAACGACCCUAUAGGACAGAGUAGAACUCCCUAGGAGUUCCAAAGUUACAGUCUUCAAAACUGCCACAUCUUCCUCCCACAGAGCAGCUGCUGGGUUUGAACUGCCAACUUUUCGAUUAGCAGUUGAGUGCUUAACCACUGCACCACCACGAAUCCUUCUGAGAUGCAUUACUGAUCUGUUCGUACCAAACCAUACCUGUUGCCAUCGAGUCGAUUCCAACUCAUAGGGAUCCUACAGGACAGAGUAGAGCUGCCCCAUAGAGUUUCCAAGGAGCGCCUGGUGGAUUCAAACUGUUGACCUUUUGGGUAGCAGCUAUAGCUCUUAACCAUUAUGCCACCAGGGUUUUACUCAUCCGUAUUUGGGCUGAAAUCUGUACCCUCAGAACAAACUCAAUUCAACUGGUGUGGUUUAAGCCACAAAUUCUGCUCCAUCAGCAUAUAUUCUAUUAUUGUCAUAUCAAAAUGCGUAGACAUGUCCUUUUAAAGUUUAAAAAAAUUCUCCCCAACAUAAGAGUCAGUUUACCUGCCACUCAUAAUGGUUUCUUUCUGGCAUCCUUACUCGCCUUGAUAGGGACAUUGUAUGAAUAGUAGCCAACAUAUGGCUAAUUUCCAAAAUGUAAAGAUAAUUCACGUCGUUGCUUUCCCACUUCUGUAUCUCUGACACCAGCCACCCACAUGGCACUUUCUCCUGACCCUAACCACCCACAGUUGGGUCUACACAAGUUAGGAUUCUGUCCUUCCAGCCCCUGCCAAAUAGGCAAAUGCCAGCCUCUCUGCUGGUUCUCACUGCCUGCAGUGGGUUGGAUAAUUCGCCAGAAUGACUCACAGAACUCACAGAGACUAUUAUCUACAUGUACAGUUAGCCAUUUAUUACAACCAGAAAAGAUACAAGCUUAGAGAUGCAUCAGGCAAGGUCUGGGAGAGUUCCUAGCAGUGGGUCUGCGUUGUGUCUAGGGACCUUCACUCCCUUUACUGUGCAUGGACAUUCUCAUAGAUGCAGGAGGCCCCAAAGAGUGUGCUCCAAGGUCCUGGGUCCCCUAGCCUUUGGGGCCUCAGUGAAUAUGAAUGUCUCGGAGUUUAAUGCAUAGUUAACGUCUCUUCAGUCCAUGGAAUAUGUAUGCCUGCAUCAGGCCCCCCUGCCUCCCUCUGUAGCCUCUAACUGCCCAACUGUCUUGGAAAACAAAGGCAUCUUGAUUGUUCAGGUUAUUUCCAGAAACCAGAGUCAAAGGGCCAAACCAAAUUCUUUGUUCCACAGACAGAGACUUAAAAAUCUUUGCGAAUUAGGAGCUGUUUAUAGGAAACAGGAAAAAAAAAAUCUCAAAAAGUGCUAAAAAGAAAGAAAGCAGGUCAAUCAAUAUGUUACUUUAACCUACAAAUUGUAACAGAGCCAGAAUACCACAAUCAUUAUAGUUUUAACGAUUGUAAGACUUGGUUUAAUUUGGUUUACUAUAUAGCCAGUCUCCUCAUAUGCAUGCGAAAGCUGGACAGUGAAAGGGAGACAGAAGGACUGAUGCAUUCCGAUUUGUGGUGUUGGAUAUAUUGGAUAUGCUGUAGACUGCCAGAAGAACAAACAAAUCAAUCUUAGAGGAAAUACGGAGAAUGCUCCUUAGACGUGAGGAUGGCAAGACUUUGGACAUGCCAUCAGGGAAGCCCAGUGGCAGUAAAGGACAUCAUGUUUGGUAAAGUAGAAGACCGGUGAAAAGAGUAAAACCCUCAAUGAGAUGGAGUGACAAGAGAGCUGCAACAGCGGACUCAAACAUACCAAGGGCCAUGAGGAUGGCACAGGACCUGGCAACUUCUCAUUCUGUAACAUAUAAGGUCUCCAUGAGUCAGAAUCAACUCGUUGAUAUCUAACAGUGGCAACAAAACAACAUAUAGCCAAUACUUAGCCCUUAUAUUAGGAAUAGCUUUAUAAAUAAUUGAACAAACAUGUUCUUGCCCUUUAUUUUAUUUAUGGAAACGCACAAAACAUCCUGAAAAAUUACUCCUAACUUGAAGCAAAAUUAUCCAAUUUGAAUUUGAUUACAUCUUAUCUAUAUCUGGUAAAGCAGAAAAUGAAUGAUUAAACAGCAAAAGCUGUCAGCAAGGAGGAUAAGAAGAAAACCAAGGACAUGGACAAUCUACAGAUUGUAUCAGCUUGCCUUGAAUGUUUGCUGUUUACUCUGGUGGUUCAGUUCAAAUCCAUCUGCUGCUCCUUGGAAAGCCUAUGGGGUAGAUCCACCCUGUCCUAUAGGGUCACUAUGUGAGCUACUCUUAAAUGAUUCCCACCCUUAGGUCAUUGUCAACAUCAUUGCCAAAUUGAGUCCUUCAGUUUCUAAAUGUUCUCAUUAGUAACUUUCGAAUCGAUGCAAACUGUCAAUUAAGGAUGUUGCCACAGUCAUUUCCUUAAUUGGUUGCAGACUUUGGGCUGAAACUCAUAAUCCAAAAUUGUUGCUCAAAAUAGUUGCUUUAGGGGGGAAAAAGACUUCAGUCUUUACAAGAAUUAAAUGUUCUAUUGUUCUUUAAUAAAUAGAAGAUAAUCCAAAUCAACUUGCCCAGGUCACUUAGGUUUUACAUUAAUGAGGUUUUAGUAUGUAUUUUCAUGAUUAUUGAGGUCAUAAAAAAGUUUCAUUUUGUGGAAGAGAUGGCUUUGGAUGGUGUCUUAGUCAUCUAGUGCUGCUGUAACAGAAAUACCACAAGCGGGUGGCUUUAACGGACAGAAGGUUAUUCUCUCAUAGUCUAGCAGGCUAGAAGCCCGAGAUCGUGGCGUCAGCUCCAGGGAAGGCCUUCUCUGUUGGCUCUGGAGGAAGGUCCAUGUCAUCAGUCUUUCCCUGGACUAGAGCUUUUCUGUGUGGGAACCUUGGGUCCAAAGGAUGCUGUCUGCUCCCGGCACUGCUUUCUUCGUGGUAUGAGGUCGGUCCCCCUGUCUCUCUGCUUGCUUCUCUCUUUUAUAUCCCAGAAGAAAUUGGCUCGAGACACAAUCCAAUCCUGUAGAUUGAGUCCUGCCUCAUUAACAUAACUAUUGCCUAUCUCCCCUGCCCCCCCAUUAACGUCAUAGCCAUAGCACUUAACCACUAUUUCACCAGGGUUUCCUUACAACACAGAGGAAGAUCAUACAAGAUGACAAAACGGUGGACAAUCACACAAUACUGGGAACCAUGGCCUAGCCACAUUGAUACAUUUUGGGGGGACACAGUUUAAUCCAUGACAGAAGGAGAGCCAGCCAAUUAUUAAGAGAAAAGAUUUUUAUUUUUUGUGCCGUCUUUUUCCUUGAUUUGUGCGUAGGUGUAGAUCUGCAGGGUUGCUGUGAGUCGGAAUGGACUUGACGGCAGCAGGUUUGGUUUUGGUUUUGGUACAUCUUGUAGUUUGAUUUCAGCCUUUCUUAAAGGAGAGUGCUUUAAACUAAGGGCCAGGAGGAUCCAUUUUGAAUCUUAAUUCUUUCCAUCAGUUUACCCAGCACCUUCACUUUGGUGAACCAGAUCAAACAUUUCUUGAAAGCCCGUUAUGUGCCAUUUAACCUUUCUAUACUUUGGAGCCCUGAUGUGCAGUGGUUAAGAGCUGUGCUGCUAACCAGAAGGUCAGCAGUUCAAAUCCACCAGCUGCUCCUUGCCCUAUGGGGCAGUUCUACUCUGUCCUACAGCAUCACUAUGAGAUUUUUUUUUUCUUUGUAUACUUUAGAUAACUGUAUCUGUAAAAUGAAGAGAAAGACUACUCUUCCAUACCCUUCCUGGUUGUGAAAGGAUGAUUACUUGAGAUACUCUCAUUAUCUUGGGAGCUCUGGUUGGAUUCAUAAAGUGUUAUGGUGAGCAUGACCCUCAAAAUAAUGAAGGUAUUGGAGCUAAUAACUUACUACUUAAAAAGCCUCAUCAAAUUUCUUAAAAUUAUACUGAGAAAAGCCUGAGGAACUGUUAUCAGGAAGUUUAUUACUGGAUAUUAAUUAGCACUUUUAAGAUUCUCUGUUCCUCCUUCAAGAUCAGCAUCAACUUUGUCUCUCAUAAAUUAGAAUUUUAGGGGGACUUACUGAUAAAGUGUUGAGGUCAGGAGGUCAAGAGGAUGGGAAGGAUGAUUAUUGGGGAACAUUUUUGUAAAUUAAAGUGAUGAGAGUCCUUUUAAUACACAUUUAAAGCAAUAUGGGGGAGCCAGUAGCUCUUUCUUGAAUGUACAUCUUCCCCAGAGAUGUGCUAGAUGAGUGGAGGAGUAGGAAAGAGAGCAUUGUAUUGGCCCUUAAAGAGGUUAUUUUUAUGGGAGAAUAGAUUUACAUUUACAUAAUAGCCAGAACUUCAAAAGUCCUCCAUUGUGAAAUGAUAAGAUUGUUGGGUAGAGACUAAAGUGGUUAUAGUAGUUAAGAGAAGCCACCAGCGUAGACUUACCAUUGUCAAGGAAGCUUCCUGCAGGUUGUGGCACUUGGGCACGCUACAUGUCUGCUGGAUGAACAGGAAGUUUUCUGACAAAGGAGAAGGUGAUUCCAAGAACAAGUAACAGCAUGACCUGACACAUGGGCCUGAAACAAUGACAUCUUGGUGACAGCGAGUAUAGAACUUGCUCUCUAAUCACCAUUCGCCACAAAAAGAAACCUAGACUCCUCGGAGAAACAACUGAUUUCAGAUGUGGAGAGAGAAAGUAUAAGAUGAGCCUGGGAUAUCUUGUGCCAAGAAACAAGGAAGCACUCAAAAACCAACUGUAGUAUGUUAACCUCCCCGUCCCCCAAUAAAAAACCCAUUGUCGUCAAGUUGAUUCCGACUCAUAGCUACCCUAUAGGACAGAGUAGAACUGCCCCGUAGAGUUUCCAAGGAGUGCCUGGUGGAUUUGAACUGCAGACCUUUUGGUUAGCAGCUGUAGCACUUAACCACUACGCCACCAGGGUUUCCAGUGUGUUAAAAGGGCGUAGGAAAGAAUGUAACCAAAGUCACAGACAACUUGUGUAAAAAUUGUUGAAUGGGAACGUAAACUGCUAUGUAAACCUUCACCAAAAACACAAUAAAAUAGUACUUAAGGAGGGGUGGAGCAUAAGAGUCCCACUGUCUAAAUUUGAGGUAAUUUGGAACCUGAAAAGAUGACUGUAAUUGAUUUAACAUUAAACCAAAAACCAAAACCGUUUCUGUCGAGUCAAUUCCGACUCAUAGCGACCCUAUAGGACAGAGUAGAACUGCCCCGUAGAGUUUCCAAGGAGUACCUGGCGGAUUCGAACUGCCGACCUCUUGGUUAACAGCCGUAACCCUUAACCACUAUGCCACCAGGGUUAACAUUAGAUAAAGAAGAAACCCAUGAGCCCAUCAUAAUACAGAGCUGACCAGAAUACAUUUGCUACCAUUGGAGAUUACUAUUACUUUAAUUCCUUAUUUUGAAAAUUGGUAUAUAAAGGGAAAUAAUUAAGUUUUAACCCUGCCUCUUCAAGUUGAUGAUGGAAAGCUCUUUACGUAAGAAUUUAUCAGCUAAUAAAUGUGGGUAAUAUGGUUGAGUUAGAAAACUCCCUGUUUUUUGAGUUCUUUGUGCAUACAUGGUACUCUACAGGUCUGGUAUUUCAAUAUCUCAGAAUGAUUUUUUUCCUCUUGACUCCCAUACGAGUGAGUGAAAUUUUCUAGUGCUCUUUUAAAGGACAGAGCAACUCUUGGAGGUUCUCAGCUUUAUGCAGGAUUCUUGUUUUCAGCCCCUCCACCUCCUGAGGUCUAGAGGCCACAACUUUUGGAUGUGUAUCAAAACCUUCACAAAAGCCUGUAUCAAGUACCAGCAACCCCAAAGGCUGCCAAAACUGGGGAGUUGCCGUUGUCUUCAGAUCUUUUCUUGUCUUUUAUAAGCAUUUGUAUGUGUUUGUUCUGGGAGGGGUUCCCGUGCUUCAGUUUAUUCUGCUGUGUUGACAGAAGUCCUGCUGCCAAGACAGCACUUAGUCAUGCUUCGCACCAUGAUGCCUGCAGGGAUCACUGAGGUAGUGAAGUAAAGCAGGUGAACAGUAGGGAGUGGUGGGGAUUGUGGAGGACUGGAGAGGUGGGGCAAGUGGUUAAACAAAAGCUUGGCCCUUGGAAGCCCCCUGAAAUGCCUCAGGAGUCAGGCCUGGCAAUCUGCUUUUGAAAGGUCCCCAGCCUUGAAAACCCUGUGGAGUACUCAGUACUCAUGGGGUCGCCAUGAGUUGGAACUGAUUGACAGCAACUUAACAACAAGAGAGCACAUACUCUUUUUUUUUUUUUUUGGCUUUGGGUGAAAGUUUACAGCUUAAGUUAGUUUCUCAUUCAAAAACUUACACACAUCUUAUUUUGUGACAUUGGUUGCAAUCCCCACAAUGCGACAGCACUCUCCCCCUUCCCACCUCAGGUUCCCCGUGUCCAUUCAUCCAGUUUUCCUGUCCCUUCCUGCCUUCUUGACUUGCCUUUGGGCAAGAGUUGCCCCUUUGGUCUCGUAUAUUUGAACUAAGAAGUGCGUUCUUCACACAUGUGACCAUUUGUUUUGUAGACCUGACUAAUCUUUGACUGAAAGACGGACUUCGGGGUGGCUUCAGUUCUGAGUUAGCAGGGUGUCUGGGGACCGCAGUCUCGGGGGUUCUUUCAGUCUCUGUCAGACCAAUAAGCCUGUUCUUUUUUUGUGAAUUUGAAGUUUCUUCUACAUUUUUCUCCUGCUCUGUCUGGGACUCUGUUGUGAUCUCUAUCAGAGUGGUAGGUGAUGGUAGCCAGGCAUCUAGUUCUGAGCUCAGGCUGGUGGAGCCUGGUUCAUGUGGUCCUUUAAUCCUUUGGGCUAACACUUCCCUUGCGUCUUUGGUUUUCUUCAUUUUCCUUUGCUCCGAACCUGCUGGGACCAAUAGAUGUGUAUCUUAGAUGACCACUUUCAGGCUUUUAAGAUCCCAGAUGCUACUCACCAAAGUAGGACAUAGAACAUUUUCUUUAUGAACUGUGUUGUGGCAGUUGACCUAAGGAGAGUGCAUACUACCGCGGUAAAGGAGGACAGUUGCUACGCAGCUCAAACCAGCUGUUGCCAAGUAUGAACCGUUGCGUAGUUUUUCUAGAUAUUUUUGUUUUUUGAGAGAAGUUAGAUAUGCACUUCUUUGUGAGAGUCUGAUUUUUAAUUUUUGGCGGCUCAUACAAAUUUUUAAGAAAAGCCCAUACUGAUUGGAUAGAGUAGAGCAGUCUGUGCGCCAGACUUGUCAAAUUUUUAUAGUUUUCGUAAGCCAGGACUUUUUUUCAUAGUCCCAGCUCCUGACACAGCCUCUCAAAUACAGUAAGACCACAGUAAAUACCGAAAGAACUCAUUGUGCUUUAUUGUAUCUCUCGCACCUUUACAAAUAUUUAGGAAUAAAAUUGUAUAUGAAUGUUUCUGUAUUUUGUGCUUUCAUCAGAAUUAUUUGAUCAGGGGGCUGAACAAGAUUCAAGGCAUGUCACCCCUUACAAGUUAACCUCAAACUAUUGAUUAGCACUGUUUGAGUUUGGUGACAAACGAGCAUUACGGGAUCACCAUGAGAAGAGAGUGAGUUGGAUAACAGGAGAUGUUUGGGCAUAAAGUACAAGCUUCUCUUCUAUUUUGAUAGGAGUGGCAUCUGGUAUGCAGAAGUAAUUGACUAGUUCAUAGGGCAAGCAAGACCAUUUGUACCAGUUUCUCUAAAUAGAGUUGUGUUUGACUGGGCAGAGUUUUAGGAUCUUAAAGACACAAGUAGGCAAAGGUGAGAAAAUUAUCAAAAGCACAUGGGAGUGUGUGCCGUACAUCAGAAGUCAUCCCAUCUUGAAUCAUACCAAAUACUACAUCUGGCGUACUAGUUUAUGGAAGCCCCCUAGCUUUUUGGCAGUGAGUGAAGGGAUGUUAUGGUGGGAAUUAAUCUAAUGAUCUCGUAUUCUACUCAUAUCAUGAUGUAACCAGGUUAGAUCAGCACAAGUUGUCAGUCCUGACUUAAGAGUAAGAGUAAGAGUAAAUAGAAUGCUAAGGAGACUGUGCAUUGACAAGGUGUCAAAACCUAGUCAGCCAAGUGAGACCAAAGCCACCGUGGGCCAGAGCCAUAUGGCAGCCUUAAGGCCUAGAUGCCCAUCCUGUUCAGGGUGAGAGCUGAGCAAGCAGUAGCUGCCCAAGUCACAAAGACUUUAUCCUGGAGCACACCUGAACUGGCCUUAAAGGCUGAGCUUUCCAUACCUGGUGUCCAAGAGUGCUUUUUUAUUGAAAAUAAAUAAGUUUGUGGGCUUUCUGCUGGAUCAUUAAAAAAAAAAAAUUUUUUUUCCCAGCAAUUCCACUUCUAGGUAUGUACCUAAAAGACUUGAAAAAGCAGGGACUUAAAUGAAGACCUGUGUACCAGUGUUCAUUGCAGCACUAGUCACAGUAGCCAGAAGGUGGGAACAACCUAAAAGCCCAUCAGCAGAUUGAAUAGAUAAACAAAAGGUGCGUACACACAGUGCAAAACUACUCAGCCAGUAGGAGAAAGGAAGUCUUGGUGCAUAGGUGCUACCAUGUGGACGGAACCGGAAGACAUUGUGCUGAGUGAAGUAAGUCAGCCACAAAAGGACAAGUCUUGUUUGACCUCACUUAUAUAAAAAGACAAGAAAAGACAAAUGUAUAGAGAACAAAGUUUAUUAGUGGUUUCCAUGGGCGGGAGGGAGCUGGAAAAGGGGUUAACGGCCAAAAUAUCACCGUGACUAAAGGUGUAAGGUCGCACAGCCAGUGAUUAUAAUUGCCAUUGGUAAAUUAUGCGCCUUUGGAAAGUUGGGGGAAAAAUCAUUUCUGAAAGCAUUGGAAUUAUUUUGUUACAAUUCUGAGCCUGAAAUUUUCCUUCUGUGAAUUUUCUAAAACUGUAUCAAUUCUUUAACUUUACGGUUUCUGUUUUAGUAUUACUAUUAUCAGUUCCUAAUAUUUUCAUUCUGGAGACUCUAAAAUAGCUCUUGUGGGACUGACUUCCUGAGAAUACGGAGAGCUUUUCACAUCGAUGUAUUUUUCUUUAAGCUGACAUAAUAGUCUUGUCUGAGUGUGUGAUUUAGCAGGCUCCAAAAAGAUUAUUUGCUUUAAAAGGUCUCUGUAAAAAACACUCUCUUGCUCAGCUUUGUAGAUAUUUUUCUGCUUUGAACAACCUACCCAUCGAAAGGGUCUGUAAAAUUUCGAUUACUGUUUCUGUGGUUUUCUGUUUUUCAUGUACUAAAGCCAGGAAACACCGUUACAUCUUUACUUUGAGCAUUCACACUUAAAUCUGAGUCAGUGGUGUCACUCGGGUGUGCGGGGGGCGUGGACCACACUGGGCGACACUGUCGGGGUGACACCAAGAUGACUGUCUAUAAAAUUUUUCUGCAGUGUUCCAGCAGAAAUUUAUUAUUUUUAAUAAAAAUAUCCCUGUAGUUAGUUAAAACAACAACAUUUUUCAUAAGCUCAACUUACAUGUAUCGAUACACCCACAAGGCUAAAACUCUGUGCUGAUUUACUUUUUGAACCUUCUAACCUGCUCCAGUCAGAGCUGUCAUUAUUACCCAGUCACGGUGCACGCGCUACAAACAAAUGCCUUUGUUUUUGUUGCUGCCCGUGUUUCUAUAGGUGCUGAUUUUGUCAAAAAUUCCAGUGUUUCCGGUACAAGAUUGUGUUAGUGUUGUGAACCUGUAUCAGUGACUUUUUUGAGAAUGAAGUAGUAAUUGAAAAGAAAAUUCUUACCCAGUUUUCACUUAGCCACAUGAAAGUAAAUUAAUGUAAAUACAUUUAGGCUGUGCGUAGGAUAUUGUAAUUCAAGGUGUAAUUUUAAUUUUGCUAGUUGUUUCUGUCACUGCUAUUGCCGUUACAUUCAGGUACGUAUGGAGAUGACGACUACGGGUAACUUUAGUGCAAAAACCUGACUAGGGUUCUUUACGGCCUGGUACGGGAGAUGGUCCACGGUGGGGGUGACACCAUGAGUUACUGCACCGGGUGACACCAACCCGAGUGACACCACUGAUCUGAAUCACAGUAGCCAUCAUCCCAUUGUAACAAAUGAACAAGUACUGAUGUGGAUACACAAGUUUAUAUUUGGGUAUAUUACAGUGGUGACGUUGCAGCUAGUACUUACUGGAUACGUAGGUAUUUACUGUUCCUUGUUUACUGAAUGCUGUUUGCUUUAUGUACGUUGGAAUUCUUCACAGUAAUCCUGCGCGGCAAUCAGAUUACUCCCAAUUUGCUGAUGAGAAACCUAAAACAUUUGCACGGUUGGUUACUCACACAAAGCCACACAGCUAGUCAGUAGCGCUCUAUCACACUCCAAAACUAGGGUUUGUAACUACCUAACUCUAAGGUAAAAAGCGGGCAGUUCAGUUCCUAGAAAUCCACUUGAGUUGCCAAUUACAUUAACUGUUAGUUAAGCUGUAAAUUUUUAAAUCCUAGUUCCAUAAUAAUAGUAGAUUUAAGAUAAAUUUACAAUUUAUCUGGAAUGCAAACAUGUACGUGUUCAGGGAUGAAGACACUACGUUGCCUGUGUGUUAAGUCAUUAAGCACUCGUCAAAAUUUUUAUUGAGCAUUUACUGUGUGCUAGGUAUAGGGUCGCUAUGAGUAGGAAUUGACUCAGCGGCGCUGGGUUUGGUUUUUUUGUUUUGUUUUUAUUUUUUGUUUAGGUACUGGAAUGACAUAACAAUGAAAAAACGUGAUCCCCUUCCCCGUAACACUUAAAAUCUAUGUAGAUGUUUCUCAGCCUUUUUUGAACCCAUGCCUUUCUUGGAUAAACAACAACUAAAUGCCAUGCCCUCCCUAAUUUGGAAUGUCAAAAUAAAUUCACGUAUUCCUUACCAUUCGAUUCUAUUGGAUUCCUGAGUUUCUCUAGUGAGUGACAGUGAAAGCUUGAAUAAAAGGAAAGCAACUCUGUUCAGUUUCUGAAUUUGGGUAAUGAGAGUUCAGUUAUGGAGAGUGUGUGUUGUGAGCCACAUGUGUAUCAUGUCUGAAAAUAAUAAAGAGAAUGAAGUGAUGAUUUGUUUUAAGAUAACAUUAUUCCUGCAUCUGUGUUCUAGUAUAUACCCUCUGAAUAUAAAGAAAUUCCAUGAGACUACCUAUUCCUUUCUAAAAAUAAUUGUCACAGAAAUUUAAUAAAAUGUUUUAUCAUGUAGAUGUAAGUAUCGGGUAUGAAAAUAAAGGACUUGAUCCACAUAUGGGCAGUCCCCGACUCACGAUGUAUUCAAGUUACGAUGAACUGUGCUUAAACGAUUUUUUUUGUAAUAUGGACUACAUACAAUGUUAAAAUAUAUCUGGAAGUUUAUACGUAAUGUUUCUAACUCCCAAAGACAAAGAUUGGAUUUAUAACAAUACUGAUAAUAAAAGGUGUUAAUAAUAAAAACUUAAAAAAAAAAAGAGGUAUUCAACUUAUGUCAGAACCGACUUAGGACGGAGCUAUCAGCGAAGCCCCGUCGUGAAUCAGAGACUACCUGUAGUUGUUUAAAGAUAGUCUGCUAUGGUUUAUGCUGAGACCAAUGGCAGGGCAGAAAACCUCAGUUUUGAAAUAAGCCUUAAAAGAAUUUGCCAGCCAUUUGGUUCACAGCCAAGCUCUUAAUCAGUACACCACUAAGACUCCCUAAUCUAGUGAAUAAAAUAUAUAAUAUUUUCAGAAGAAUGCAGUGAGUUCAUUCAUUCAUUCAGCAGAUUGAAUACCUCAUGUAUGCUAGACUCUGUGUGAACUCUUCCCCUGGUCACAUGGAACUUAAAAUCUAGUGAAGUCCUUGUACAGGGCAAGAGGCGGUAUGUGUAGUCUGGAGACUGGCAGCUUCAGUUUACAUUCUAGAUCUUCAACUUAUUAGCUGCUUGACCUUGGGUGAAUUAUUUAACUUCUUUAUGCCUCAGUCCCUUCAUGUAUUUAAAAAAAGAAAGAAGAGGGUUCUAAUAGCAUCUACCUUGUAGACUUUUGUGAAGGUUAAAUAACCUAAUAUAUGAAGGGCGUAGAACAGUGCUUAGCAUAAUAAGUGUUACCUAUUUUUAUCAUUAUCUUAAUAUGGAUACAGAUGUUUAGAAAGAUUGCCCGUUAAGGGGAUCUUGGCCUGGUCUUGGGAACGUGAGGGUCAAGGAUAGCUUUUUUGGGGAUGUGAUUUGGGCCUGAGAAGUGAAAGAUGAAUAGUGUUAACUGGUUGAAUAGGGAGAGAAGUUGAGUAAAAUUAUUCCAGGCUGAGAAUAACCAGUGUGAAAGCCAGGAUGAAAGUGUCUUGAGGACAAGGAUAGGCCAGAAGAGCAAGGUGAGGAUGAAGCAGGAGAAAUGAUAGGGGCCAAGGUUUGCAGGGCCUUGGGAAGCCUUUGAAGGGUGGUUUUAUGCAAGGAAGUGACAUCAGAUUUUCAUCUUAAAAAGAUCCCACCGUGUGCAUUCUGCAGAAUGUAUUGGAAUGGGGUAGAGGAGAUGUGGGGAUCACAGUCAGAAGAUGUUAAAAGUAAAAGAUGAUGGUAAGUUGGAGUAAGGUGAGAGAUGUGGAUAGAUCAAAAUACAUUUAGGAGGUAAAAUAGACAUGAGUUAGUGUUUUAUUGGAUAUGAAGAAUGAGGGGAAAGAAAAAUGUCACCAAGGACUUCCAAAGUAUCCACAACCAAGCAACCAGCCAUUGCUGUCGAGUCGAUUGUGACACCUAGUAACCCUAAAGGACUGAGUAGAGCUGCCCCAUAGGGUUUCCGAGGGGCAGCUGAUGGAUCCAAUUGCCGGCCUUUUGUUUAGCAACUGAGCUCUUAACCACUGUGCCACCAGAGCUCCUCCAAAAUGUCAGCUAGAAAACAAAUAGACUUUAAUUAAGUCAAGCAAGUAAAGAACAUAUUCUAAGAAGCUGAGGAUAUGCUAGAGCUUACUGAUGAUAGGGGGGCUCUCAAAGCGUAGUCACUGGACCAGCAGCAUCAGCAUCACCUGGGCGCUUGUUAGAAAUGCAGGUUUUCAGGCCCUACCCUGGACUGGCUGAACCAGAAACGCUGAACAUAAGGUCUCUUAUCCUGUAGCUUUUGGAGCCCUGGUGGCGCAAUGGUUAAGCGCUAUGACUGCUAACCAAAAGGUCAGCGGUUUGAAUCCACCAGCCACUCCUGGGAAACCCUAUGGGGUGGUUCUACUCUGUCCUGUAGGGUCAUUAUGAGUCGGAAUUGACUCAACAGCCGUAGGCUUGGGGUUUGUUUGUUUUAAUCUGUAGUUUAACAAGCCCUUCCGGUGAUUCUGAUGUGCACACUGAAGUUGGAGAAGCACUCUUCAUAGAGGCAUGGUGGAAAAGUUUAGGAAGAGGGAUGAAUGAGUGUUCGAAUCAAAGCCAGGAAUUGAUUAGUUUUAUGGGAUGACAGUGCUUUUGAGCAAGGCUCAGCAAACUAUAGUCCCUGCCCUCCCCCUCCCGCCCCAGUUUUUGUACAGGUCACAAGCUAAGAAUAGUUUUUACAAUUUUUAAAUGGUUGAAAAAAAAUCAGAAGAUGUUUAGUGACAAGUGAAAAUUAUAUGAAAUCGAAAUUUCAUCGUCCGCAAUUAUUAGAACACAGCCUUGUGUUUUCAAUUACGUACUGUCUAUAGCUGCUUUUGCCCAAAAGACUUGAGUAGUUAGUUGCAACAGAGGCCAUGCAAUGGUUGAUAUGCUUACUAUCUGGAUCUUUACAGAAAAAAACUUGCAGACCGCUGCUGUCUCAGUUACCUAGUGCUGCUUUAAAAGAAAUACAAGUGAAUGGUUUCAACAAGUAGGAGUUUAUUCUCUCACAGUCUAGUAGGCUAAAAGUCUGAAUUUAGGGCACUAGCUCCAGGGGGAGACUUUCUUUCUCUGUUGGCUCUGGAGGAAGGUCCUUGUCAUCAGCCUUCCCCCAGUCAAGGAGCGUCUCAGCACAGGGGCCCUGGGUCCAAAGGACGCGCUAUGCUCCCGGUGCUUUUUUGGUGGUAUGAGGCCGGCCCCCUGUCUCUCUGUUUGCUUCUCUCUUUUAUAUCUCAAAAGAGAUUGACUCAAGAUACAAUCUAAUCUUGUGGAUUGAGCCCCGCCUCACUAACAUAACUGGGAAAAUUACAUCAGAUGACAAAAUGAUAGACAGUCACACCAUACUGCAAGUCAUGGCCCAGCCAAGCCAACACACAUUUUUGGGGACACAAUUCAAUCCGUAACAUCCUCCUUAGACCGUUAAAAUGCCCUUUAGAGAAUGAAGAACACCAAAGACACAAGGUAAUUUUGAGCCUAGGAGACAGAAAGAGCCAUAUAAAUCAGAGACUACAUUAGCCUGAGACCAGAAGAGCUAGAUGGUGCCCAGCUACAACCGAAGACUGCCCUGACAGGGAACACAUUAGAGAAUCCCUGAUGGAGCAGGAGAGCGGUGGGAUGCAGACCUCAAAUUCUCAUAAAAAGACCAGACUUAAUGGUCUGACUAAGACGAGAAGGACCCCAGAGGUCAUGGUCCCAAGACCUUCUGUUAGCCCAAGACUGGAACUAUUCCCAAAGCCAACUCUUCAGACAGGGAUUGGACUGGACUAUAAGACAGAAAACGAUACUGGUGAGGAGUGAGCUUCUUGGCUCAAACAGACACAUAAGGCUGUAUGGGCAGCCCCUGUAUAGUGAGGAGAUGAGAAGGCAGAGGGGAACAGAAGCUGGCUGAGUGGAUAUGGGGAAUACAGGGUGGAGAGGAGUGUGCUGUCUCACUAGGGGGAGAGCAACUAGGAGUACAUAGCAAGGUGUAUAUAAAUUUUUGUAUGAUAGACUGACUUGAUUUGUAAACUUUCCCUUAAAGCGCGCGCACGCACGUGCACGCACACACGAAUGUCCUUUAUUUGGUGAUUGCUGAAAACAGAGAAGAGCUGCAUGGGGAGUUUCAUACUCUAGGUUUUGAGUUUAGACAGAGGUUAAUACUCUGUCUUCAGACAGAGUAGGGGAUCUGAGCCUAAUGGGCAGAGAGCUUGCUUGGUUUGAAAUGAGUGGAAACCACACAGCCCUUGGACUGUGCUGGAUGGGGGCCUGCAGUCCGGAGCCUACAGUUUUGGCUCCUUUAGCCUGAGGUAGCAGCUUUCCCAGUGCACUUUGUAAUCAUAUUUGGAGACAGAGUAAAGAGAUAGAAGAUACCAAUUUUUGAGGAAAUGAUUCAGUAUUGGUUAUUUUGUGCGGUAAUUUAUCUUGGAAUUCAGUGUAGUGUCUAAAGAUAUUCUAUGCUUUCACUUAAAUGUGUAAACCUUGGUCUUCUGAAGUCCUCAAGCAUAUUCAAGAGUAUACCUUUAUUGUUUACUUGUUUAAGAUCCAGUCCUAUUAUGGAAAAAACUGAACUUUGGGAAAAUUUUACUUUUAGUAAUGGUGCAUAAGCUUGUUGUAUCCUAACCUUUCUGCCAAGAACAACCAGAAAAGCUGGACAAAACAAAACAAAAACAAAUCUGUUUGAAGGUGUUGAAGAACUGAUAAAAGUGAGGGACUCCAGGGGCCAGGAUCUCAGAGAAGAAAAGGUAGCUCUCAACACGUCAUGUAAAUAACCAGCAGCCCCUCCUCCUGAGCAAGCCUCAGGUCUCCUACAAACUGUGGGAAUAAUCAAGCUACUGGAAGGAAAAGCUCUCUACUUACUAAGUAACAGAAGAAGCAGGUAAGGACUAUUUAAUUAAGUGAGCAAACCUGCUUCUUCUGGUGACAUGGCGACUAAGCUGGGAAGCCUGUAAGACUUGGUCAGGAGGAGGGACUGCUGCUUACGUAGGCGAUGUGUUGAGAACUACCUUGAUCUCUCACAACUUUCUUCUCAAGGACAAGCCAAACGGUAGAAAUCAGGGUUCACGCAGCAGCCAAGUGAGGCUGUUCCCUAAGGCCAGCCAUGUCUCUCUUGAGGCAGCGCGCGCCUCAGCACUUGAAAGUCACCUUGGGGUGAAGAGAGAGAAACAAUCGGUGUGAAUUGUGUUUCAUCCUUUUUGUUCCAGCAUGAUGAAAAGUGCUUAAUUUGUUUGAAACAUGUACAGGGUAGAACUGCUCCAUGGGGUUUUCUUGGCUGUGACUUUUAUGGAAGCAGAUUGCUGGUCCUGUCUUUCACAGGGCUUCUGGGUGGGUUCAAACCAUCAGCCUUUAGGUAAGUAGACGAGUGGAAACCAUCUGUCCCACCCAGGGACCUGGGUAGGUUACAGGACAUUAAAAUAUGCUGUCUGUACAUUCAUCGAGCUAUUCCAGAAGCAUUGUACAAUAGCAGUCAACUAUGUAUUUGAGUGAAUGAGAGUAAAAUUAGUUUCUCUGACUGGUAGACUUCUGGGCUUUGUCAUUCUUUUGGUUCAUUUAAUCCUUACCCUAAUUCUCUCCCUGAUCUGUAUUUUGGAAGACAUCCCUCUUUUUUUUUUUUUUAAUUUUCUAAGAAUCAACCCAGAAUCUUCUGUAACUUCUAAUGCCAAGAAGGGUGAAGUGUAAAUUUCCCUUUGUGUUGACUUCAUUGUCUGGUGACCUACAAAACUAGAAGAGAGAAUCUGGGUGUUAGAGCUCUCUGUUCUGUCCGUCCACAUGACUAGAAGCAUAGGGAGAUGACAGCAGAAGUGUGUGAGCAUCGUUUCAGAGCGAAGAGGAAGGCUUCCAGAGUAAAACUCACGUGGGUGUUGCCAAUUUGAUGAUAGCUUCACUAAGUAUACAAGCGAAAAUAAUGACACUGGUUUUCGUGUGAAUCAGUUACCUAUUUACUCCCAUAUUCAUUAUCCAAAUUUUAUUGGUAAAUUUGGAAGAUUUUCUUAAAUCGUUACUUUAGAUACAGUGUUAAAACCGAUCAUCACUUCUGUAUUUUGAAGAAUAGUUCUCUUUGAUUACUGAGCUUUUCUUUGUCUUUAUUCAUUUCAUAAUUUGGUAUAAUGGCUAUGAUUAUAGUUUUUUCUAGUAUAUGCAAAACUUAAUUUUUGCCUACGAAUUUAUAAACAUUUCCAGAAGACAGAAUAUCUUAAGAUUUGGUUGGAAACUUGGAAUUUGGGCCAGGAUCCAAUUUCUCACCUUCAUGUUUUCAGGCAUGUAUAAAAACUAUAAUCCCAGAUAGGCUUUAUUAAGUAAGCCCCCUGAGGUCCCAUGGCACAGUAACAGCAGGAUUUAGUGGAAAGAGUACGGUCUUGGGAAUCCAAGUACAUCAGUAGACCUGAGUUAGAUUCCUAGAUCUGCCAUUCUCUAUCUCUGUGAGGUCAGACAAGUGACAUAACCCCUCUGUGAGGUGAGGGGGGUGUGGGAAGGAGAGUUAAUGCUUCAGGGGCACUAAGGUUCUGUUAAGGGUGAUGAAAACAUUUGGAAAGGGUUAGUGGUAAUGGUUGUAUAAUAUGAUGAGUGUAGUUAAUGUCAUUGAAUUAUACAGUAAAAAAACCUUAAAAUGGCAAAUGUUAUAUGUAUUUUACCACAGGAACACACACACACUAUAUAUAUCUGUUUUAUAUAUAUAUAAUUGCCUUCUAAGCUUAUAUUCAUUUUUGUUUUAUUUCUUCCAUUCAUCACUUUAGGUCCUUUACUUGAUAACAUAAUUACAUUAUCUUUAUUUGCAAACAGUAUAUACUUAGAAAAGAAUAGGACAUUGCAAAACAGCUUUCAUGGAAUGUCAGGCCUGUAAUCACAAGUAUUUCAGGGUACAUUUGCCAGGAGGAAAUGUACCAACAAUUUACUAAACCGUUCUGGAUAGAAUGGUGUUCAGAUUUACCAAAAAUUAGUGGGCAGUCCCCAUAAAUGAGUACUAGAUAAGAGGAUUGGUAUAGUUUAGAAAAUGUUUUAAGAACUUUAAUCCCCCCCGCCACAAAGAAAAGAACUGUAAUCCAGAAGCUGAUAUUUCAAAAGUAUGUUCGUAUUUUAGCCAAGUUUACUUUGGAAAUGAUUUGUAAACAACAUACAUGACCAGCUUUCAUUAGCCGCAGAAUAGAAAAAACCAUUUUACCUGACAUUUGUCACUAGUUAUAUAGCUGUGAUGCCUCAGGGUUGUAAUAUAUUAAGUAAAUAUUCUGUUAUAUGCUUUUAAAUGGGAGUACAUUAGCUGUAGCACAAAAGCUCAUUUUAAUUACAGCAAUUUAAAAAUGUCUGGGACCUGAUCCAGCACAAGACAGUGAGUGGUUGUGACACCCAUGUCACUCACUUAAGGUUCAGGAUGAGACUGUGGCCUUGACCCAAUGCCUGUGUGGGCGUUAAACUAGAGAUGUAGUUGAGCCCCACCCAGCUAGAGUAUAGCCACAUCACGCACCACAUCACACACAUCACACACACACAUCACACACCUUGACGUGCCUCAAGCCUGAUGGGCUAAAGGCUGCUUGGGGGACCAUACAUGGCAGGCUCGGGUGUAGAGCGGAAGCUGCUUUUAGAAAGUGAGUGGCAGGCCAAUUUGCCUGGAAGGUAUUGGAUCUUGCCAUUUAAAGGGUUUGUACUUCCUUACAAUCAAAUUAACAAGAAAAUUGUUUCAUAAAAUUAGGUGAAGAUAAAAAAGUUGAAUGAAAGGCAGAUGAAUUUGAUUUCUUGAACCAACGUAGUUCUUCUGCACAGUUAUCCCUUAACUUUGCAGUAUGUGAGCUGAGCAUUUAGAGCAAUGCCCGUAGGCUGGACUUUAUGGGUGCUGCCGAGGCUGUCAAAAACAGAUGAAAAUUUCACACCUUUACAACGUCUUCUGUUUCCCUCUUCUGGGAUCUAGUAAAAUGACUCUUGUGCCAUUAAUUACCAAGGCCUUAUUUUCCAAUUCAAGCUUACGGUUUGUUCAGUGGUUUGUAAAUUGUUGAUGUGAAAUGAUACAGUCCUCUACGGAACAGUUCUGUGUUGGCUGUGGAUACAGGUUUAGCUCUGCAUGGAGAAGCAUUGUACCUGUAUAACGGAGCUCUGUCAUCAGCAAGCGAAAACCUCAGCGUGAUUGUACGGAGUCAGUGCCAUAAUAGGGUAGUAGUAGCUUUCAGAUUAAACAGAGUACAAACAAAAAGCAUUUUCCACCUCCAGCCAACAGAAUCAACCAUGUCAGUAACCCAACAGUGGAUCAUUGCUGUGACUGUCAUUAUUGCUUCUCUCGUGUCUCUCUUUCUGCCUCCUCCCCACUGGUGCCCCAUUUUCUCUGCAACCAGGAGCAGGAACAGGAUGCAGAGUACUAAUGACUAAUCCAGAAACAGAAGCCCCUGCCCAAGUCUCUUAAUUCUGCUCCCUUUACAUUUCUUCCUAAAAGAGCAGUGUUGGAUUCUGCGCGCAUGCACACGCACACGCACACACACACACACACACACGCAAUAAUAACUUUCUUAUUUGUAAACUGAGUAGCAAUGAAAUGCUGCAUGUUGGAAUACCAUAUCAUGAGAAGCAUCCAUACCGUAUUGGUACUUAUUGAACGUUGGCCUUUUAUGUGACUGUGAUAAGAUUUGAUGCCAGUAUUUCGAACUGCCCUCUCCAUCCUUGCUCUGUAGCGUGACAUCUAUUCAUUAAAGAUAAAUACCCACAUCAGUGGAAUGUUUCUGCAGAAAGUAGUAAUUACCUUAGAUUUAUCACCCAUAGUCCACAGGCUCUUACCAUUCUUUAUCGGAUAACCCAGUUGUUCCUACAUUCAUAAAGAUUGAGCUAUGAGUUCAUUUUUCUUGUUAUUUGAUGAGUGGGAACUUGUUAUUUGAUAAAUAGAUCACUUGGGGACUAUUAGAAAUAUACCACUUGGAAUCAAACAGAUAAUCAUUGUUAAGACCUUCUACUAGUUUUCUUUCUUUUUUUAUUCUAUUUAAUGAGUUUGGUUAUAGCAGUCCCCAAGCACCUUCUUUUGCAUAGAUUCUUAUUGAAAUCAGCAUUCUUUUGCUGUUUAAAAAACACAUGAUUUGUAUACUUUGUGUUUGAGGUAAAUGCCAAUUCUAGCAUUCAAAUAUUUGCCAAGCCUAAUGUGUCUGUUUGUGCUUAAUACUUUUAUGGCAUCAGGCGGAGAAAAUUUGCCUGUAAGUUCCCGUCACCUUUCUACAUUGUCAAAAUCACAUUAUGCAGGUGUGGCUACAUUGAAUACAAGAAAAUUCUGAGAUGAGUAGCUCACCACAGUCCAUUUCCCACCACCGUGUUUUUACGUGAACAACACGUGCCUUCUACGUUUGUUUGCCAACCGUGCGCUUAUGAAAACACCUCACCGCGGAGGGUGCAGUUGGCAAACAGACGUAAAAGGCCUGUGUUAUUUGCCUGAAAACAUGUUACUCUAUUCACUCGAGCCACUUCUUUAGCAUUAUGAAGUCUGGUUUGUCACUUUGCUUCAGGUGUGAAGGUGUUUUUCUGAUGCUGAAAUAAAGUGUGAGACAAAACUGGCACUUAAUUGGCAGUUGAUGCUGCUAUAACCAAUGCAGUUUUGAAAAAUAUAUCACAGCAACAGUUUCUUACACAGUGUCUUAGGGUUUGCCUUCAUUUUAAGAUUUUAGAUGGGAAGUCACGUAGGAUAGUAUAAUGUGAUAGACAAGCCUCGGUUUGGAUUCCAAGUCUGUCUCUCACAGCUUUGUACACUUGAGCAGGGUAUAUAACCCUCUGAGCCUAUAUAGUCUUAAAAUGGAAAUGGUACAACCUACUUGUUGAGUUUUAAGAACGAAACGAAGUUAUGUAAAACACUUAACACGGGUCUGGUGCCUACUACCUUCAGUUCAGAAGUCCCAGGGCACGUUAGUGGCACAAAACAUCAGUCAAAAGUCAGGUCUUCUAACACACAAGUGUUUUUCAACCACACCACAUUGUCCAUUUUUACUGGUUAACAAGUCUGGGUACUGGCAAACGGCUGUAGAGAGCUAUGAUUUUUUUUUUUCAUGGGAUUUUUCCCUAUUAGAUUCUGUUAGAGACUUUCCUCAAGAAUUCUAAAAGGUCUAUAAGGUGAUAAGAGGACAGGGAGAGUUGAGGGGUGUCCAGGCUGUUGACUGGGGUGACUGUUGAUAAUGGGGCCAUCCAUUGAAAUGCAAGAGGAAGAAAAGCAAGUCUGACUGGACUUGGGUGAGUUCAUUGAUUAGUGCCUUUACCUUUCUGUUUAAACCUUUAUGUAGGGACUUUUGUGGCCCAUGGUAUUCAUUUUAGGGCGUUUUAAAAUGUGCAUAAUUCUCUUUUUUGGAGAUACCGUUUUAUCCCCAAUGCAAGUCUAAAUCAAAUUCCUUGUCAGUGUUGUCUCUGAUGCCAUGAGUUGGUCACCCAAAAGCAAUGACUUUUCUAUUGCGUUUUCCAUAAUUAGGGCCGAGUUAAAAUCUAAGUCUUUAAAAAAAUGACACUUUUCUCUAUAAAACUCUUCCCAUUAAGAAUCUAAAUGUUGUUUAAAAAAAAAAAGACUCUAACCUGAGUAUAAAACUGGGUCGCUUAAAAGUCCUUGUGGGUUUAAGUUGACUACCUGGAAGGCGGAACCAAAAAGAGGAGACAGUGUUAGUCUUUCCCAUAGUCAACCAGUUCUCAAAGAUUUACUAAUGGGUUUUUCAUUUCUCUUUCUCUUGCUGCCUUUUUUGAUUACCUUCUUCUUUGGCGAAAUGGUGCAGCAUACUGGAAUGGGCAGGUCAAAACGACCUAGGUUCAGAUCCAGUAUCUGUCACAUACUACUUCUGUGGCUGAAGGCUGAUUUAUUUAACUCUCUGAGCCAUCCUCCAUUUUUCCGUCUGUAAAAUGGAGAGAAUAAUACCUACUUGGGACAGUUCUGGAGGACUGGUGGUGCAGUGGUUAAGAGCUACAGCUGCUGACAAAUGAUCAGCAAUUCAAAUCCACCAGCCACUCCUUGGAAACCCUAUGGGGCAGUUCUACUCUGUCCUAUAGGGUUGUUAUGAGUUGGAAUUGACUCGACGACAAUGGGUUUUGGUGUUUAUGAGGUUAUUGAAGAAGUGAGAAAGGAGAUUUAAAGAACCUAUUCAUUUAAUACAUGUAGGAGUUCUUUUUUUUAUUACUGUUGCUGCUAUUAUUAAUAAUAAUAAUUUUGGAACCUUGGUGGCGCAGUGGUUAAGAGCUCAGCUGCUAACCGAAGGUGGGCAGUUCUACUCCGUCCUAUAGGGUUGCUAUGAGUCGGAAUCAACUCGACAGCAGCAGCUUUGGUUUUUAUGCAUCAAGUUCACCAUAAUAAAGCUCAAAUAAGUUCGUGGUUUAUGGAUUGCUAGGGUAAAAGUUUUGGUUCAACGGGAGAUUGGAACUAAUCCUUAAAAUGAGAUUUCUAAAAGAUUAUCCAUGGGGUUCUCCCUGCUGACCCUGUGACCAGGGUAAUUGAGUUGGCUGUAAGGAAGAUGGAAUGAGGAAACAGUUCUCCUGCCAGCUUAAAGCAAAUGUGUGUGCCCGGAGGCAUGCGUGUCCAGCCUUGUUGGAGACAGUGCUUUAAAAUUCAGCCGGCAGUACUCGAGACUUCCCUGAUGAUGAAUUGCCUGCUAAACUGUGCCACAGAGCAUUCCACUUAAUUCACUUAUCUCUCUUGGCAUAAUUUCUAUAAAGUCAGUGCUCUCAGGUAGGGAGGGGUGGGGUGGAGGUCAGCAGGGAAGCCCAUUCCAAAUCUUAAAGUGACCGUUGUUAGUGGUAUUUUUAAUUUAUGGGCUGUUUUCUCCCCAAAUUCCUCAACUGUUUCGUAGACAUUUUUUUUUUUUCCUUCAGCUUCACAUACUGUAAGAUAUUCCCCAAAGAAUGUCACCAAGACAGCAUGUUCUCAUUUUUUCUCUGGAGAGCCCUGACUUUCAGAAAGGCCUGAAAAAGAGGGCUUGACUAUUGAUGGAAGUGAGUAUCAAGCUUCAUGCCCUUCCUUUCUUCCUCCCUUCCUCCGGGAGCCUCAUCCAAAACUAACCUGUUACAUUUUUUUUUCUGUAUUUCUUUUGGAAAGAAUUGAAAGACUCAGGUGAGAGCUGAGGGAGCCUGUAUAAUGGCAACAGCCCUAGGGUCAGCAGCUACCUGCCAGUUUAGCCCUGGUUCUGACCUUCCUCCCUUCUAUCUCAGUGGCCACAUAUAAAAUGAUGUCUUGGCAUCAUCUUGAUGUCUUAUUUAAUUGAAGGGUUGUUUUUGAAAAAUUUUAAGCUUUAAUUGUGACAAGCCUAAUCCUACACAUAUGCAGAGAAUUAAACCCCCAUAUGCCCAUCUCUUAGCAUCCACAGCGAUCAGUGUUUGCCAUAUUAUCUCACCUGUUCCCUCUGCAUCCAUCCCCCUGCCUCAUGCUGUUUUGGUGGCGUGUUUUAGAGGAAACCCCAGUUGUCAUGCCAUUUCAUUUCUACACUUUACUGUACAUCGCACAUAAAACCUCUCGUAUUUCAAAUCUUUCACUUCUGCCUCCCUUUACUCCUCUUAGAAGUAAUUACCAGCAGCACAGAAAUCAUUUUUAUUAAAUCUGUUUUGUAAAGAUUUCUGAUUCUGUACUCCUCCUACUUUAGUCAUUCUUCUUUUGAGUUUUAUGGAAUCCCUGGUGCAUACGAGAGCCUUCUGAAAUUAAAUGCAGGUAUUUGUGUGUGCCUUUGGAACUUUCUGGUAGGGGCAUGAAGUGACAUUGUUUUGAACGUCUGGCAGGAGCCCCUGGCCCAGAGACUUGGAGGCUGGAUAAGGAGCAUGUAGGGCUCCUGACUGCAGCCCUGCAUUAAUAUUAUAUGUAGAAGAUAGUGUACAGGUGAUAAAGAACCAAUAAAAGUACAGCAAGACAUCAAAUGAUAGUCUCUUUGUAGUGUCAGAUGGAGCUAGUUCUGCCUACAAUCCUGUAUUUAGUAAAAUAAGACCAUUUAAAAAAUACACUAUAAAUAAAUGCUUUAUACACAUUUUUGGAAAAGAUUAUUUAAGCUCAUUUAUUUAGAGCUGUUAGGUGCCUUCGAGUUGGUUACGACUGAGAGCAACUCAGCGUACAAUAGAACGAAACACUGCAGGGUCCUGCGCCAUCCUGACAGUCGUUGCCAUGCUCGAGCUCAUUGUUACAGCUACUGUGUCAAUCCAUCUGGUCGAGGGUCUUCCUCUUUUUCGCUGAUCCUGUACUUCACCAAGCAUAAUGUCCUCCAGGGACUGGUCCCUCCUGAUCACAUGUCAGAAAGAAUGUGAGAUGAAGUCUCACCAUCCUCGCUUCCAAGGAGCAUUCUGGCUGUAUUACUUCCAAGACAGAUUUGUUCAGAUUUAUUUAGAGCUAGAUAUGGUUUGUGUGUGGCCUCAGGAUCAAGUUAUCAGUCUCUUCUAGUGUUUGUAAAGAAAUAAUGCUUUUCUCCUUUUUUUGUGCUGAUGAAAAUAUUUUCAAAACAAAGUCAUUUAGUGUUGAUUUGGACUGGGUACUUUAGUUGUUAGGGAGCCCCGGGUGGUGCCAACGGUCAAGCACCUGAGUACUGGCCAAAAGAUUGGAGGUUUGAACCCACUCAGAGGUGCCUAGGAAGACAGGCCUGGUGAUCUGCUCCUGAAAGAUCACAGCCCUGAAAACCCUAUGGAGCAGCUCUGCUGUGCACACAUGAGGUCUCCAUGAGUCGGAAUCGACUCCAUGACAACUAACAACAAUAACUUCAGUUGUUCAGAAAAAAAAAAGAAUUAUCUGAAAAGCCAUUAAACCAGGGUCACACUGGACGUCCAAAUCUGUAAAUUAGUGUACACGCGGCCACUGCGUUCCUGCAGCACAUUUCCCAGUGGAGAGUUCGAUAUAAUUUAAAGCUUGCUAAGUGUGUUAACCCAUGGUAAGGCUUUAGGUCUGCUGAAGUAUAUGACUCUCUGAUGGCCAGCUCUUACAGCUCAUAAAUCUUUGUGUUAAGUUGUACAGGAUCUGACUUAGAAAUGAGUUUUUGCUCAUUUUACACCAUACUUGGAAAUCGGGAGCAGAGUUUUGACAGUUGUGAAAGCUGCUCAGAGGAGCAGCACCCACCAUGGACUGUAAGUACAAAAGAGUCAAAAUUAACACAGUAACUACUGGAGCUCUGUAGUUUCAUUUUCUUUUCCUUUAGAAGGGCACUUGUUAAUAGGUUUUGUUCUUUUGCUUUACCAGAAAGUAAUACCAACCACGAGCAAAUGCGUGGGCCCUUGAUGACAUUCCCUCAAAGGUUAUAAACAAUGCUGUCAGAAGUCAGCAUUGAUUUUUGUGUAACUCGAAGAGUGGAUCCUUGGAUUUGGCGAAAUGCUUCUUUUCUAUUUUCAUGGUAAACUGUUACUAGAUCUGAGCAGCCACAGCACCCAAAGAAGAUUAAUAGCUAUUAUACAGUGAUGAGUGUGGUUCAUCACACUUCAUGAUUAAAGAGGAUGAUACUGAUGGUGUCAUUUAUUGGGCUUCAUUUUUGACCGUUGGCUUGACUUGCUCAGGAGUAACAGAAAGCAGAUUGUUUAUAUCAUCUGAAAUGGUUUCUUCUGUGCGCCUGUAGCACAUUUCGCCAUUUAACACAGCAUCGCUAAGGUAGGAAAAACAGCAGAGAGGAGAGAGUUACACAGUUGGCUGUUAGAAAACAGGUAUUGAAUGACAGAGUGAGGAAUUUUUUUUAAUAUAUAAUACUGAACCAGAAAUCAAUGUGGUUUACAGGUGAACAUGAACACAAUCAAGUAGUAGGAUGUAGGUAGAACAUAAGAACCCUAGGGUAGAAUUUUCUAGAAGUAGCCUUAUAGCUGCUCCCUGAUUAACAUGCUCUUACUUGGUUGGAAGAUAAAAAGACAACAUAUGGUUUAUCCUAAAUAACUGUCUAAGGCGACUGAGAAAAUGAUGCGGUGUUCAUUUCUGUUUUCUGCUCUUACUGCUCUGUGUUCCUCCUUGAGAGGCUGUAUUAGUUUCUUAGAGCUGCCAUAACAAAGUACCACAAACUGGAUGGCUUAAAACAACAUAAGUUUAUCUACGUACAGUUGUGGAGGCUAGAAUUCGGAAAGCAGGGUGUUGACAGGGCCAUGUUCCCUCUGAAGUUUCCAGGGAAGAAGCUUUCUUUGCCUCUUCUAGCUUCUGUUGGUUACUGCUAGUCCUUGGUGUUCCUCUGCUGGUAGCUGCAUCGUUGCAGUCUCUGCGUCAGUCGACACAUGGCCUUCUCCCAGUGCCUGUGUGUUCUGUGUCUCUGUCUCUAAAUCUUCCUCUCCUUUCUCUAUAAGGACACCAGUCGUUGGAUUUAGGAGCCCACACUAAUCCAGUAUGACUUCAUCUUAAUUAAAUCCAAAUAAGAUCACAUUCACAGGUUCUGGAGAUUAAGAUUUUAACAUAUCUAUCGGGGGAACACAGUCCAACCCACUGCACAGGACAUGUUCAAUGGUAAGCAGAAGGAGGUGUUUCCAUUGUAAAUUCGGGGCUAUGGUUUUAUUUCUUUUUAGUUUUAGGAUAAAAUUGUUAGUUGCCAAGUUUAAAAGUAGGUUCUCAACUCUCCUAAAGCAUAAUAUCAACAGCAACAAAACACCCAAACUUCGUUGCUAUUGAAUCAAUUCCGACACGUAGUGACCCUAUAGGACAGAGUAGAACUGCCCCAUAGGGUUUCUAAAGAAUGGCUGGUGGAUUUGAACUGCCUACCUUUUGGUUAGCAGCCGAGCUCUUAACCACUGAGCCACCAGGGCUCCAGAGCAUGAUGGGAACUUGUAUUAAGUGAGGGGGUGAUUCUACUUUGUGUAGAAUGUUCUGUUUGGCUAAAUUUGUGUGUGUGUUUCUAUAACAUUUAAAGUUUGAACCUUUAGGAUAUGAUUCCUUGAUUUUUCCUUGCUCAUGGCCUUCACAUAGAUUUCCAGGACCAGGAAUACACAUCAAGAAAGUAAAGAUAGGGCAAGACAGCACUAGCUGCCAGCCCUGUUUUUUAGCGUACUCAGAAAGUAAUGACACAUGUGUGUUAAGAAUGUUCUAAGAAACCUUACAGUUUAUUAUGAGGAUUAGAGUUAAAUAUUAAUGUUAAUUAUGAAGCUUUUCUUUAAGCUUUUCUAUUCUACUGAAUAAUCUUACCCAUGCAAUAACCCUGUGAGGAAAGUUAGCAUAUGUAUUAUCUCCACUUAAAAUCCCAAACCAAACCCACUACCAUCAAGUCGAUUCCGACUCAUAGCGACCCAAUAGGACAGAGUAGAACUGCCCCAUAGAGUUUCCAAGGAACACCUGGUGGAUUCAAACUGCUGACCUUUUGGUUAGCAGCUGUAGUGCUUAACCACCACGCCACCAGGGUUUCCCAUCUCUGCUUAGAAGAUGGAAAUACUGCACUAUAUGUAAAGAGAUAUUACGUAUCCUGUCUAGUGUACUACAUGGAGAUAUUAUAGAUGACAUAAAAGCAGCAAACCUCAAAUAACUCCUACUCUCAAAGCAUUUAUAAUCUAGAGGGGGAUGCAGACAGGUAACAGGCAAUUCUGUGUGAUGUAAUGUUAAUGAUAGCAAUACCUGGUGGGGUGCCGUGGUCCCAAACAGGGUGCUUUGGCAAAAAAUGAAUGAGAAUUCUUGAGGAAAAACACUUAGAGAAGCAUCUAAGACCAUUCCCCCCGCCCCUUUUUUCCCCCUUAUCUCCUCACCGUUUCCCUCCCUUCCCGUGGGACUAGGGUACAGUUAGAGAAUUUUUAAAAGUUCAGUGAACACAUUGAAAAACAAGAGUUAAUCACUCUCAAGUACAGUAUUGUUGCUGGAAGCUCAAGUGCAGAUGUCCCACAUCAAGAGCAAAGACACAAGGAUAAGGCAAGACAGCGUCUGUUCUUGGGGGAUUCAGAGAGGAGCCCUCUUUGUCCCUAAACUGUGCAUGGCUGUCACAGUCAACAAGGUCCAGAAGCAGUUUGGCUUAUGAGGAAGGGUCACCUGAGCCUAUGAAGGAGGGACACCUGAGCCUAUGAGGGAGGGUCACCUGGGUUUGGGCAAAUUGAGCCCUGAAGGGAGGUCAGGGUCCUCUGCUCUGGAUGCCCCGAAAUCUGCUGGUCUUUGUUCCAGGCUUCUAGCCUUGGGGAGAGGCAAGCCUCCUCUACUGAUAGUCCUUUGGCUCUUGCCUUUUGAGGAGGAAAAUGAAGCUCCGCACCUGAGUGCUUGGAGAUCUCGGGAGAAUGCCAGACAUCACCAGCAAUGUCUAUUUAUUGAGAGGAGUUGGGCAGAAAAGAGGUUUGAGGUCAGAUUUUUAUUUGCUAAAUUAAACAUCUUAAUUUUUCAAUAUUACACCUUAGAAGUACUCCAGGAGUUUCUUCCAUAAUGAUGUUUCAAAAGCAGAAUAAAAAUGCCCUCACUCUUUCCUUGAUAGCUAUAUUGAUAACCUUAGGCGGGUUACUUAAAUCUUCUGUGGAUCAUUUCCUUCAACUGUAAGAUUGGGACUGAGACCGUGAAAAUUCCGUGUUUAAUGCAGUGAUAGCUACCUUUUAAUGGUUCAGUGGAUGUUAACUAUUGUUAUAAUUAUGCAUAAUUUCGCUUUGAUCAUUGCCUAAAAAUCUUUGAAGUAUCUUCGUUAACAGUGCAGAUUCUGACGAAAAUUAAUACAGAUAGUCCCCAAUUCACAACCUAUUCGAGUUAUGAUGAACCGCACUCACAACUGCCCUUUUUUGGGGGGGACAUUUUGUCGUUAGUAAAAUGCACUACGUACAAUAACGCAGCGUGUAAUUUGCUGAUGUUUAUCAUUCUCAGAUGUUAACUCACAAUGUUAUGAUUUACUGUUCAGAACGCUGCUCUGCUGUAUAGGUUGAGUUUUCUAAACUAGAUUAGGGGCUCCCGUUGCUCGAAAACACGGACCCAAACGCUGAUUGCUUUGCUGAUGUCAAUACGCAUAUCUGGGAAGCAAUGAGAUGUUACCACUAAAUAUAUGAAGGGAAAAAGAAACUAAUUUUCUGGCUAGAAAUGCCAUCUCCGUCCUCAGGGGAGUUAUUACUGAAACUGACAAAGUAUCAGCGGCAUCCAGCUCUUCUUCAUUGUUGGAGUAAACUUUACGAUUUGUGUAUUUUUUUUUAUGGAUGUGUGUAUGUAUUAAAAUAUAUCUGUAAGUUUAUAUGUAAUGUUUCCACCCCCCAAAGACAAAUAAAGAUCAAAUUUAUAAAGAUACUGAUAAUAAAAGGUAAAAAUAAUGAAAACUAAAAAAAAGAAUGAGGUAUUUGACCUACAUCAGAACCGACUUACAAGAGUCAUUGGAAUGGAACCCCGUCAUAAAUUGGGGGACUACCUGUAAUUCUAAGUGGAGCAAAAGUGAAGUCACAUUUGCUAAUCCACUGUGUGUGUGUGUGUGUGUGUGUGAAGAGAGAGGCUGCAACAAUGGGCUUAAGCAUAACAGUGAUUGUGAGCAUGGCGCGCAGGACCGGGCAGUGUUUGUUCAGUGGUACAUAGGGUUGCUAUGAGUCGGAACGGACUCAACCACACCUAACAACAACAGUUACAAAAUUAGCUGUUGUGAUGACUGAAAUUCUUAAGGCAAACAAUACAUUUAGGUGACUCCUUAAGGAGCCCUGGUGGUGCUACAGUUACGCGCUUGGCUGCUGACUGAAAGAUUGUGGUUUGAACCCACCCAGCAGCUCCUUGGGAUAAAGACCUGACUGACAAUCGGCUACUAUAAAGAUUACAGCCUAGGAAACUCUAUGGGGAAGUUUUCGUCUCUCUGAGUCAAAAAUCAACUCAACAGCACCUAAACAACAACAUGGACCCCAUAUAUAGCCAACUUGUGUUCAGUGAAGUGGCAAGCUCCCUAGAGAUGGUGCAGGAUAAAUUACCAAUUAUUAUAAUCACUUAUUUCAAGUAGAUAGGCUGUAACUAAAAUGUAUGUAAAUAUUGAUCUUACAACUAAGAUAAAUGCACGGUAGUUGUCUAUAAUGUCCGUUUUCACCCUCUUAAAAUUUACUUGAUGUGUAUUUAAAGAAAAAAUUAUUGUUCUUGUUAAAAAUCCUUUUGCCUUUUCAAGGUGCUUAUUUGUCCAGUAAAUCAUGUUAGGAGAAUAUGUUUACAGUUAGUAGAAGCUUUCAAAGACACAAUGCUUCUCAACUGAUGUUUCUUGCUACAACUUUGAAAAGCUAAAGCUAUUUAACUACUCUUUGUGAAGUUAAAGUUAGGCUGUUAGUAGGAUUCCUACUGAUUGAUAAAUAGUUAGAACAGUAAAUUCAGACAGGAAGAUUGGGAUGUCAGUUCCGCAAGAUGUUGGGAAAAUGCAGUGAAGCUCAGACUCAGGACUUGAAUUAAAUUUGGCCCCCUAGCUGUUAUUACCCUCGUUAACAGACCCAAUUUCAGAAACAACUUUUCUUUCCUCAUGCCUUUACUCUAGGACUCUGAUAACGUGAUGCCCUACUACAGCUCGUGGUGUGUGGUCUCGGGACCCCAGCAUCAGUGUCGCCUGGGGACUCGUUAGAAAUCCAAAUUCUCCGGCUGCACCCCUGACUUGCGGAAAGUCUGGGCCUGUGUUGGAACAAGCUUUCCAGUGACUCUGCUGUAGCUCGGGUUUGAGCAUUGCUGCUUUUUAUUGGCUCUUAGCCAAUUUGCUGGAAAUUCAAAUCAGGAAAAGUGGACAAAUUAGAGGAAUUACUGUUUUAUAGAUGGGGAGCAAAGAUGCUUACUGAAGAGUUAAACUUCAGCACAUUUUGUGGUGAACCCCUAGUUAGGUAGAAAAUUCCCCUCGGCUCCAUAGCAGAAACGAACUGUCAAACCAUUAAUAUGAAAUGUGUACAUGUUUGAUUUCUACGAUCAUAUGAUUAAUAUCCCUUUGGCCUUAUCUUUUCCUGACGAUAUUUUAGUGAUAAACCUUCAGGGUAGAGACUGAAAGUGUUAAAUUUCAAAUUCCAACUCUCGUCGUUGAGAUCAGUUGAGAUUAAUAUCUUUUUUGGCACUCCCCCCCACCCCCCAAUAAAAACCUCAGCCGGUCUGCACUACUUUCAGUUCCCUGAACUCUGAAUGCUCCUUCUUCACCUGUUGGGAGAUUCUGUUCCCUCUGCCUGGAAAUACCCCUUCCCCACACUCUUCCCCUUGGCCCGCUCAUUCUUUAGAUUUUAGCUUAGACAUCACUUUCUUGAGGUAAAUGUUCCCACAGAUGCCUCCUCUUCCUCUUUGGUAACAUGACACGAAAGUAAUUGCCUGUAUAUUGCCCUACAGCCCCUAAUACCCUGUAAGCUCUACAGGGCAGUGGUUGCAGCCGCAGAGAAAUGGCCACUACCCUGUAGAGCUUACAGUGUAUUAGGGACAUUUGUGUUUUAAACCUGAAAUAUUUUUAAUUAAUCAAAACAAAUAAUAACAAAGCCAGAAAACCCAAAUACCUUAUCUGGCCAAUCAUAUCGGCAAAAAUUAAAAAGAUAAAACCCAACUUGUCAAGGAUUUAGGGAUACAGGCAUUGUCAUACAUUGUUGGUGAAAUUGGAAAUGGCUGGCAAUUGGGCAGUAUGUCCCCUGUGACUCUGAAAUUUUGAAGUAAACAAUUGCACAAGUGCCGUAAGACAUUUGUCCAUGGCUAGUCGUGAAACAUUUUGUGUCGUAGUUGCCAAAAUUGCCAGCAGUGAGGCGCACUAUGGCAUAUCCGUUCAACAAAAUGGAGCCCUGGUGGCACAGUGGGUAAGAGCUAUGGCUGCUUAUCAAAAGGCUGGUAGUUUGAAUCUACCAGCCACUCCUUGGAAACCCUGUGGGGCAGUUCUUCUCUGUCCUGUAGGGUCACUGUGAGUCAGAAUUGACUCGAUGGCGAUGCGUGUUCAACAGAAGUCAUUACGAUGUUUAUAUGUGUGUGUCUGUAUAUAUAAAACCAUGGACGGAUUUGCAUAAUACGUAAAGUGGAGAAGUGGGGGGGGGGACCAUUACAUAUGUCUCUUUAAAGGCGCUUUGGUGGCGCUAGCCUGAUAACUGAAAGGUCUACAGGUGGAACCCAAGAGUACUUCAAGGGAGAAAAAACCUGGCGAUCUGCUCCCAUAAAGAUUACAGCCUAGGAAACCUUAUGGGGCUGUGCUGCUCCAUCAUAUAGGGUCACUAUGAGUCAGAAUCGAAUAGAUGGCACACAACAACAAUGUUCCUUAUGUAAAGAAAAAAUUCCAGAAGGAAACGUACCAAAAUAACAAUAGAAGUUAUUUCUGGGCAACUUUCCCUUUUCUUAUCUGUGUUUUCUGAAGUUUCCAUAUGGGCAUGUAUUUUUAUUAUUAUUAUUAUUUUUUUUUUCUAAGAAAAGGAAGCCAUAUCAAAAUAGCACUAAGUUCUGUCAUAAUCCAUUGUUGUUAUAGUUGUUAGCUGCGGUUUUCCAGUCGGUCCCUGACUCAUGGCCACCCACACACAGUGGAAUGAAGUGCUGCCUGGUCCUGUACCACCCCCGUGAUUAGUUGUGGACUGGACCAUUGUGUCCUAUAGAAUCUUUAUGGACUGAUUUUCAGGUCACCAGACCUUUUUUCCUAGCCCAACUUUGAUGCUUUACUGAAACCUAUUCUGCAUUAUAGCACCACGCAAACCCCCAUUGACACAUGGCUGGCGACUGCAGAUUAGGUCCAUUGGCCAGGAAUCAAACACGUGUCUCCCUUACAGGAGCGAAGCGAGAACUCCACCACUGAACCAACAGUGCCUCUUCCUAAUGCAGAAGACCAAAAGCGUGCCCGUGGAAUUGAUUUCAGUUCGUAGUGACCUGACAGGACAGAGUAGAACUGCCCCAGGGGGUUUCCAAGUAUCGGCUGGUGGAUUCGAACUGCUGACCUUUCCGUUAGCAGCCUUAGAUCUUAACCACUGUACCACCAGGGCUCCACCCAUAACCCAGUAGGCAAGGAGAAUUGGAUUUAAGAAGGAGAUUUUUCAAAGGAAAUUUAUUUUAGCGAUACAUACAGAGGAACAUUUUGGGGCUACCUGGUUAAGCCAUCUGCUAAUUUAAACUUUAGAGUGUUGCCGUAUGACCCUAAACUUUGCAGAGACGUAAAGAAUUUGCUCAAGCCAAGGCUACCCUUAUGAAUGCAUGACAUAGGAAACUAUCAGCAGACGUGAGGGAGCCUUGGAAGUCUCCCUGCCUCCACAUCCAUCUCGCCUCCUCAGCACUCAUGCUACAGGGCUUGAGAUGGCACAGUUAGAACUAUAUCUUGAAGCUAAGCAUUUUCUUCCUGUGGUCCUUUGUGACGGGUUCGUGAAGGGCGAUGUGUCAAAUCACUACUUUGUGUGUGUGUGUGUGAAUUAGUUCAUCAGCUUAAUCUACUCCCCAGGGUGAGGGCUGCAAAGCAAAGAACAAAGCAUAUCAGAGAUUUGAGGGAACAGAAGUGCUGACAUCUGAGGCCAGUAUAUGGGGAGAGAUGAGGGAAGAAGGGGUGAAUACAAAACACUUUGCCUUUCUCUCCAUUUUGCUUUGUGCUGUGUUAGAUGGAAACGAUUUACCAAAUAAUUAGUUGAAAGGAACGUGUAAUUAUGAUAGCAGAUUUCCAAAUGAUGAGUAAAGGGAGUGUUGGGUAUAAAUUUCAUUGUUUUGUCUGUCUCCACCACUCGUCUAUCAGUGUGUUGUACUGCGGUUAUUUGUGUGUUGCUGUGAUAUUGAAAGCUAUGCCGCCAAACAGUAUUUCAGAUACCAGUAGGGUCACCCAUGGUGGACAGGUUUCAGUGGCGCUUCCAGACUAAGACAGACCAGGAAAAAAGGCCUGGUGAUCUGCGUCUGAAAAUUAGCUGAUUUAAACCUUAUGGAUCACAACAAAACAUUAUCCAGCUCACUUGCUUUGGACAUGUCAUUAGACAGGGUCAGUUACUGGAAGAUCACAUCAUGUUUGGUGAAUCAGAGGGCCAGCAAGGGCAAGGGAGACCCUCAGUGAGAUGGAUUGGCACAAUAACCACAACAAUGGACUCAAACAUGGCAGUGAUGGUGAGGAUGAUGUAGGACCAGGCAGCAUUUCAUUCUGUUGUACGUAAGGUCACCAUGAGUUUGAGUCAGCUUGAUGGCAUCUAUCUAUCUAUCAUCUGUUGUCAACUGAUUUAGGUAAAUUUAAGCAGAUUUGGAAGCCAAAUAUCUCUCUGCAAUGACAUUUAUCACAUUCUCCUCCAGCGUCUCAAAUCUUUCCGUCUCUUCUAGCUUUUAAUACAUCUUGGGGGAAAAAAAAAAAAAACAUUUGUGUGAUCCUGGUGACCUCUCUGGUCACCCAUCAGACUUAGAGUAACCUUUUCAAAGCUCUCAUUCUCCUUGAUCUUUCUGUGCAUUUUGCACUGUGGGGGAUUAGCUCUUUCUUAAAACUAUUUCCUUCCUGGGCUUCUAUGGUUCAGUUCUUUCUUUGUGUUCUUCCUUACCCGUCCACUUCCUCUUUGACUUCCAACUUGGUUAGUCUUCAGUUCCCUAAACGUGCGUUCACCAAAGGUCAGUUAUUGGCCUUUUGCUCUUCUUUUCAUACAUUCUUCCCUUUAAUGGUCUAGUUUUCUAUAAGGACUUAAACAGUUAUCUCUCAACUCUUGCUCAAGUCUUUAUCUUCAUUUUUGUGUCUCUCAGCCCUAAUGUCUCACUAGAACUUACUUCUUGGGAGUAUCUUCCUGAUGGAUUUGGCACGCUCAAAAUGGAAAUCCUCUUUCUCCUAGUUAUUGAGUCUCAGUAAAAUUGUUUUCACUUCACCAUCUGUUAUAUUCCUGCAUUAAGUCAGACACAAAAUCCUAUGAAUUCUUCACUCAGUUUAUACCCAGUCACCCCUUUCUCUCCAACCUCAUUUGCACUAGCCUCGUCCAGGCACCUAGCACCUCACAGCUUAGGUGACUUCUAAAAGCUGCUUGAGUGGUAUUGCCAACCAGUGGUUUUCAAAGCUUUGCACUGUCACCAUUCUAAAACACCUAUUUCAAAGUUUCAGUCAUUUGCAGUCUUACCUCUUUUAUAAAAUCAAAAAUUUCACCUACUUCUCACUUAUGCUUAGCAGUUAGUAUAUUUCCUGUUUUUUAGUGCUUAAUCCUACCCUACCUGUACGUAACCAUUUCAGGGACUUGCUGGUGUCCCCAUUAAAUCUCAAGCACCUGCCAAGUAGAAUCGAAUAACAUGUUGCUUUUUUUCCUUGCAGGUACUUGUGUGGAAUAGUUUAAGACCCAAAUGUUUUGUGUUUGUGUAUGUUUUCCACAAACGUCAGUUAGUGCUUCUCAAACUUUACAGCAGUCCAUAACUUUUCAGAGUGCUUGUUCGGUGUGUUGAUUGCCAAGCCCAAACCCCAGAGAAUCAAAUUAUUUAGUAUGAAGUCUGAAAACCACACACUGAGCAAUGCUGCUUUUCCCAGAGUCCGUUACUUCUCGCAGACACCUGUAGGUAGUACAACUAGGAAAUGCAUGUCAAAUGGCACUGUUAUUGUAUGUGGUUGUGUGUGUAUAUAGAAUUUUUUUUUACAGAUAUAUAAUCUGCAGCAGUGAUUUUCAAGCCAAGCUUCAGGGAAUGCCAGGAGUCCGUGGAUGCUUUCGGAAUUCCACAGUGAACUAUUUUCUGCCAAGCAGAGAUUUAAACUGUUAGGAGCUCAAUCAUGGCGUUUAUCUGUUUUACAUGUUAGGAUAGUAGGGAAGAUUCCUUUGAAUGAGGACUUCUGCUAUGAAGAAAAUUUUUAAAACAACAAAGUAAUACAAAAAAAGUAGUAAGUGCACAUUCUGUUAUUCCAAUUCCAUGAGAAGGUGAAACAAAUUUUGUUAAGUAAUGUCUCAUUUUAGUAAUGCACUUUUAAUUUAUAAAGGGUGCGCCUGUUUCAUGUUAUGAGACAAGUAUUAAACUUCUAACCUAACGAAUGAGAAGCUAUUUAGGACCCAAGUUUAUUCUAUUCCCUUGUUUUUUUUAAUAAAUAGACUGAAGCCUUUCCCAACUGUUUCAGUACUGGCUAUUUCCUUCCAUCCUCUUUUUUUGUCUUCUAGGGUUGCUGUGAGUUAGAAUCAACUUGACAGCAACAGGUUUGGUUUGGUUUUUUUAUGUCAUAUUUUAGUUCAGCAUAGUAUCUGACCUCUAUGAUUUGAAAAACAAACUCUGGCCAAAACUGUAUUACAAUAAAGUAAAAUCAUCCAUCCACCAAACCAAAAGCAACCCCGUUGCCAUUGAGUCGAUUCCAACUCAUAGCGACCCUAUAGGACGGAGUAGAACUGCCCCGUAGGGUUUCCAAGGAUUCAAACUGCCAACCUUUUGGUUAGCAGCCGUAGCACUUAACCACGGCACCACCAGGGUUUCCUCAUCCCCCUAAGAGAAACUGAUUUGUACUGAAAAUUCCUGUAUACAAUGUUAAAACACAUUUCAAAGAAAAGUUUGAUGAAACAAUACUGAUCUGUGCAUUAUAUGAGAAUACAUUGGUGACAAGUAAAGCAGAAAGACUCUUCUGUUACUGCAAAUUGAUCUGAGCCAGUUGGGUGACUUGGAUUUUUCCGGCUCUCUUGGUAACUGCCACAGUCUUGCUACAAGUGAAGUGAAGUCUCAGACCAAAUUCUGCCCCACCUGCAAACCUGUAUUAGCAAGCAGGCACCAAAGUAGCCAUAAAGCCCUGUUGCAUAAGCCAGUAAAUUCCCCGCUUUGUCCUUUCAGACAUACUCUGACAAGCACCAAAGCAGGAAAAUAACAUUUUGGUGAUAGGAUCAGCGAACUCAUCUGUCUCGUUAAGCAUCAGAAUCUUGUACUAAUUUGGGGAGUGGGUGUGGUGCUAGGACAAGACCUGAAGAUGUUCGUGACCUUGGAUGCAACUGAAAGAUGCUAGGCUUCUGGGCUUGCCAUGUAAUCCUACACCAUUCAUAUAGAGAACCUGGUGGCACAGUGGUUAAGCAUUUGACUGCUAACCAAAAGGUCACCAGUUCAAAUCUACCAGUUGCUUUUUAGAAACCCUAUGGGACAGUUAUACCCUGUCCUACAGGGUCGCUAUGAGUCAGAAUCGACUCGACGGCAGCAGGCUUGGUUUGGUUUUUGUAUUCAUAUAGAAGAUCAUGUGAUAUUUCUGGCCAACUACAUAUUUUGAACACUCUUUGUUUUCCCAGUAAAAUUUAUUUCUAGCAUCUUGGUGCUCAUAGAUGAACUGUCUACUGGGGAUACAGGUAAAGACAUUGGAUCCAGCUGCCUCUGGAGUUAGAAUCCUGACUAGUCUUUUACAUGCUAAUCAGUAGCCCCUGAAGUGGUGAUCCCUGAUUAAGUCCUUCAAAUGCUAACUUGCACAUAGAGAUAAAUCACAUUGUCUAUACCAGUAUUUUUUUUCAACUGCAGGUCUGAUCUGUUAGUGAGCUAUGAAGUCAAAUCAGUAAGACCAACAUCUUUCGCUUAGCAUAAGAUAGAUGGGAAGGGGUAGAGUGCAUUGCAUGCAGCUGGUUCAGCAUUGGUUGGUGGGUCAUUUGCUUCAGUUAUAUCUGUAUAUAUCAUUGGGCAAGGUUUCUUACUGUGGAUCAUGGUCAAAAAUGUUCGAAAUCUACAGUUAGGAUUUUAAAAUAAAUUACAGAUGGUGUAUACAGCUAUAUGGAAACCCUACGGCUGCUAACCAACAGGUUGGUGGUUCAGUUCCACCAGGUGCUCGUUGGAAACUCUUUGGGGGCAGUUCUGCUCUGUCCUAUAGGGUAGGUAUGAGCUGGAAUCGACUCGACAGCAAUGGGUUUGGUUCUUGGUUUGGUUAUACAACUAUGUAUUUAGUCAAUCCCAGGGUAUAAUGGAGUGAAAUUUGCUGACUUCUUGAGGGUGCUUUUAGUAAAAGAAACCUAAAGCUCUCCCAUAUUUCUGAGAUUACAUUAUUCUUGUACAGAGUCCUUGUCAGCCAAGACAGUAACUGAGAAGGAAAAGUUCUGUUUGUUGAAAAACAGAUCUUAAGCCAGGCAUCCUCUCAACAACAGCCUAUUUUCUGGAGGUGUUAAAAACCACUGUUAUGAUAGAUCUUUUAUGUGAACAUGUAGCUCGACUCCCUGAAUCUUCAAAACAACAGUAAAGAGAGAAGAUGUGAUAUGAUGAUUACAGCAGUAAUGACUCUAAGUGCCAGAUUUAGCGGUAUUUAAGUCAGGCUGUUACUGUGCAAAUGAUACUGUAAUACGGUUAAAAUACCCUUGACAAUAAGGAUGGUAGAUUAAAGGCCUUAGCACCUGUUCUAGUCUUCCCGCUUUUCCGUUUCAUAAAUGUUGCUUUUCUCAUUAACCCUUCAUAACUCCUGAGCUCUGCUGUCUCUGACAGUGCUUCAGAGAGAGGUGUUCCCACCCCCAUGCUUUUCUCUUCUUCUGCCUGCACAGUGGUAAUGGGCUGUCAACACGUGGCACGCUUUCUCUUACCCAAUUUCCUAGGUCCAACACAGCUAUUCCUGCAAAUUCAGGGCUUGAAAUAACACAGGAAAAUGCCUCUUCAGAAUCACCUGGGAAGCCUUUAAUAAGCUGUGGUGCUCUUCCCACUUGGCUGCUGUGCAGAGCUUUGGGAGAAACCCAAGCUGGAGUGUGUGCUCUGUGGAAGCAGGGACUUGCCCCCUUUCCUUAAUAUCAUGGCCUUUGUAUCUGGGAUAGCAGCUGGCAGAUGUGAGGUGCUCACAUAUUUGCCAGAUGAAUGAAUGAAUGAAUGAAUCACUGAUUUCAUUGGCAUUUACUUCUCUCAAGGCAUGUGCUCAGCUGACUGAGCUGCAGGGUACCAGAUGCAGUAGGGUGCCAUCUCUGUUGUUCAGGUCUGCAGAAGCCUGAGGACUUUGGCCCCACUCCUCAAUUAAGGGUUUUUGAAAGCAGCAGUCAGACUUGUGUAGGUGCUGACAAAUUUCCAGCUGCUGAUGAGGGGCUGGGGCCCUGGUGGUGCAGUGGUUGAGAUCUCAGCUGCCAACCAAAAGGUCAGCAGUUCGAAUCCACCAGCUACUCCUUGGAAACCCUAUGGAGUAGUUCUGCUCUGUCCUACAGGGUUGCUAUGAGUUGAGAUUGACUCAUUGGCAACGAGUUUGGGUUUUUUUUCCCCCCCGUUGGGAGCUGCUGAGCCUGGGCAUGUAAACACAAGAACAAACAAACAAAAAUAUUUUUUUAGCCAUUUUGAUGGAAACAGGUGCUUAAUGGAGGAAUUCUGUGAUGAAAAAUGAGAACAGGUAGCCCUCAUCUUUAUCUCUGCCGUAGAACUUACAGUUUUCUAAUUUGAGUUAAUUGUUGUUUAUAUCAAUUUCAAUUGUCUGCUAAAUGUAUGCUUCUUGAGGCAGAAUUUGUAUUUGUAAUCCGAUAGCAACUGACAUAGUGAGUCAUUGCACAUAGUAGGAGCCCAAUAAAUGUUUAAUGAAGGUGUAAAUGGAGCAGAUUGCCCAGAAGGAACUCCAUAAAUGCCUGUUGUGUUGUCAUCUUUAAUAAAAUGCAGGAAUUGGACUAGAAAGCUUCAGGUAUAGGUCCCUUCUGUCUCUCGUUUUAUUAUUCUGUGAUUUGGAAAAAUAAUUUUAAUUGACAAUCCCAUAGCGAGAAUCACAUCAUUUUCUCCAAGGUAAAAAGCCCAGACAAGGCUUUUUUACACAGGUGUUGGGGAUGAAGCUUAAGUAAUGGCGAGUACUACAGAUAGUGCAGAAGGUAGGCACUCUAAUAUGACAGUGCCAGGUACUCUGUCAGUGACUAUUUCUUGUACCUCUGGUGUUAGGGCAAUUGAUGUUCAUAGUAGUAACUGCCAAGAUGUGGCAAUGCUUUGGUCUUUACGGUACUCUUCAGUGUCUACACUGCCACCACUUGUAAAAAGGCAAGAAUAUUACUGAAUAUUGAAUCACGAGGUAUCUGCUGAUACACACACUUGAAGAUUUCGUUUGAAUCCUGCUUUGUCCACGAAGCCUUCUCCCCUGAUACUCUCCUUCUCUUCCCAGGAAAGGCAUGAUCUUUACAUGUGGCUCUUUCUGCCUGCAAAACCCCCUCCUCUCCUUUUAUUGUUGUUGUUAGUUGCCAUCAAGUAGAUUCCGACUCACGGUGACCCCGUGUGUGUAGAGUAGAUCUGCUCCGUAGGUUUUCAAGGCAGUGACCUUUUGGAAGCAGAUCACCAGGCCUGCCUUCCAAGGUGCUUCUGGGUGGGUUCAAACCGCCGACUUUUCGACUAGUGGUCGAGUGCUUAACUGUUUGCACCACCCAGGGACUCCUCCUCUAGGUUUAGUUCUGUCUAGAUUCUAAAACUAAUCCUGUCCCUCCUGAGAGGGAUUCACAACGCCUGAGCCCAUUAGCCUCAUGAGUCAGAAUCAACACAAUGGCCGCGGGUUUGGUUUGGUUUGGUUUUGGUUAAGCACGAGAGCAUCUAAACCUAGUUCUGUGGUCUUCUACUACUGGGGUCUCUCCCCAUGUGUACUCUGCCCCAGAGCUGUGCCUGCCCUCCAGGUGGGCUUUAUAUGCAACCAUUUAAGCUCUCUGAUGACAGCUACUUCCUUUUCUCAUCUUGAGCAGUGCUGUGUAGAGCCCACAUAGAGUUAGUUUUACCCUCCUUCAUGUGUGAUUUCUAGAUCUAGUUUGUCUCUCCGCCAGCAUCCCCGUUCUCUAAGGGAAGAGACAUUGUUUCACUUAUUGUAAUUCCUCUGUACUGUACCCAACACAUAGCUGAUAUUCAGAAAUCAUGGAACGAAUACAUUAGAGAGAAUGAAUUGUGUCUAGUAAAGUUUUAAUAUUAAGUAUAUACAUCUUUAAAUGGGUGAUAAAGUACGGUUCUCACUUUGAAUUCUAUCAAAUGUAAUAUGUGAUACACCGGUACCCUGUCUCCUGACAGGGCUGGAAAAUAGACUUACCUAAUAUGUAUUCAGCUGUAAAGCCAGAUCCUGAAAUGCUGAAAAGUGUUGGACUUAUUCUAUGGAAUACUCAUGUAAUAAUGAAGCCUCUGGGAAUAAGCUCCUCUAUAAAAAAAGUCAGCCUGAUUUAAAAGUGACAUAAAACCACCUGAAUAAAUCAUGCAAAGCAAAAUGUCAGCUUUUGAAGCUGCUUUUGAUAAAAGUACCUCAAAAGAAUGCCUGCAUUCUAUGUUCUCAUUCCCUGUUGAAGGUUAACAAGGUUGACUGUCUUUGAUUGUGUCAAGAUUAUAAUGUCUCUCAAGUCUCUUUCCCCACCCCUUUCUUCCCUCAUGAUGUCAUCUCCAGUUUUUCUUUUUUGCCCUCUGCAACCUGUGCACCCAUCCCUGAAAAAGAAGGCACCAUUUAGUUAUUAGCAAUUUAUAUUUACUAGCUACCUACUAGCUGUGUGCCCUAGGGGAAGUUACUUUACCUCUCUGAACCUCAUUUUCUUCCAUAGUGAAACAAGAAAUGACAACAGUAUCCACCUGCAUGGUGUCACUGACAGAAAAAAUAACAAAGGGAAAUUUGGAGUUUUUAAAUAUAUCCAAUGGAUGGUGACCAAAGUAUAACAGGGUGACCUUUCUGUCAUUUGGGAAAUAAUUGAAGGAGUUGAAGCUGCCUAGUCAGGAACAGAAGAAAACUUGAAGAAUGUCUUUAACCAAAACCAAGAACUCUGCUGUUGAGGUGAUUCCGGCUCAUAACUUCCCCAUAGGACAGAGUAGAACGUCCCCAUAGGGUUUCCAAGGUAUAAAUCCUUACGGAAGCAAACUACCACGUCUUUCUCCUGCAGAUUUGAACCAUGGACCUUUCAGUUAGCAGCCAAGUACUUUAACCACUGCACCAUCAGGGCUCAUCCAAGAAUUUAACCAGGAGGCAGAAUUGUCUUUAGGCAUGUAAAAAGGUCAUUUUACUUUCAAAUGUUUAAGGGCAAAAAUGAAAGGAGGUUAGAUUUUACUUUAUUAUUAGGGAGAACUUUUUGAAAAUUAGAACUCUUCUAAAGGGGCGUGGUCUACUUUAUAAUAUGUGAACUGGUAAUGUUUAAGCAUCUUAUAAUGAUUGUUAUGGAAGGUGUUUCUGUGUUAGCUUGAAGGUCAGCUAAAUGACCUGAGAACCUGUUAAUUCUUGGGUACUACAGAAAAUAUUUCAGUACAUGUUUGUGGUAGGCACAGACUCCGUGUCAUUAGGCAAUGACUGGUAUCUAAGUCUAACAUUCUCUGGCUUAGGAGAUAAGUCUUAUAUUUAUCCAAAAGAUGAAGUUUAACAGAAAUAAAUGCAAGUUUAGCUUUUCCAAAUAUUGGCACAGUUAUUGGAUGAGAGAAAUGUGGUAUAAUGGUAGCAGGAGGUUUUUCAAUGUUGACCGAAAACCAGAUUUGCUGAUCAGUGAUUCAGAACACUGAUGGGGCAGCCAAAAAAACUGAUUAGAUGUUAUGUGGUAUUGAAUGAAUGAACGAUUCUUAAGUUAUAUUCCAAAUCAAGGGAGAUUAGUGGAAAUUGGCACUUGAUGUUGACCAGAUCACACCAGAACAGUAGGCUCUUUAAGAGAUACUUAACAUUGACAAAAGAGUCAGAGGGAGAGAGUGGGGUGAAAUGGCUUUUAGGUAGCGUGGGCAGGUAGUUUCUUUCUGAUACAUGGCACUUGAGGAUUGGUGAGGAGGCACUGGUGAACUGGUGCAGAAUGCCCUGAUCCAAAGGAAGAACCUACUCUGCCGCUACUCAGCUCCAGCCCACUGUCCCCAGUCCAGUGUUAUCAGGUCUACUGUUUUUCAAGAGAAGCUAAAAAUCUAUGUAUUUUUGUGAAAUUCCUAAAAUACUGAGCCGGUAAGCCAACCUUGUCUGGAGUCUAGAUGUUCUUAUCUACCUACCAGUUUGUAGCCCCAGCAAGAGUCUCCUAGGCCCUUAGCCCUAUGUAGGAAUAAAGGAGAAGUCUUUGAGGGAACCAGGAUUAUUUGGCCUAGAGAAGGGACAAAGAGUUGCUUCAAGUAUUUGCCAGUAAUCAGGUGGAAGACCAAUUUGGCUUGUUCUGUUUCCAGAAGGCUGAGCGAGGACUAGUGGAAGAAAGCUGCAGGAAGGCAGAUUUUAGUCAAGAAAGCACUAACAAUUUAGAACAACCCUGAAAUAGGCUGUUUGGUUGAAAAUUCUUGUUUCUAGAAGGUGGUGUUCGAGCAGAUGGUAGAUGACAAGUUGUCAAGAGUGUCCAGUGAAGGGUCUAGACCAGAUGAUAUUUCAGGUUCCUUCUUAUCUUGAGAUCCUUGGAUCACCAAGAUCUAGGCUUCUGUUCAGAUGUUCACCAGACGCUGGCAUUUGGGUUCACGAGUGAGUUGACACCCUCCCGUACUAGGCAGGUGCACUGUUCCUAAAGGCCUGGCUUUUCUCUUUGUGUCUCCUUCUAAUACAUGAUGAAGGGUCUUUGGUUCGCGACUCUUGUUAAAAGUUUCUCUUUCGUGUAAUAAAUCACAGCAUUCGAAGCCAAAUUCUCAAGAAGAGCUUUAGAGUCUCUGAAGCUCUAAUUGUUUUCUUCUCCGGACUGCGUAUAGAACAGCUUGAUCGCUAGCAAUUUAACUAAAGCCGGUUGAUUCAGAUUCUAACCCUGCAGAGAAUUAGCAAUGCAGAGUGAAGUGAACUAAAGAUAGUUUAUUUAAAAAAAAAUCUUUAGCUGGAAUUGUCUCCCACUUCAUUAUUAUUUAUCUUACUAGUAAGAAUGUGAAAAUAAACCAAAAACCAAACCCGUUGCCGACUCCAAACCCGUUGCCGUCGAGUCAAUUCCGACUCAUAGCGACUCUAUAGGACAGAGUAGAACUGCCCCAUAGAGUUUCCAAGGAGCGCCUAGUGGGUUUGAACUGCUGACCUUUCGGUUAGCAGCCGUAGCACUUAACCACUACGCCACCAGGGUUUCCAAGAACGUGAAAAUAGAACCCUGUUAUUUCAUUCAUUUCUGUAUACAUAACCUUUUGUUAACAGUUGAGAUGGGACUCUCUGCUUCUGUCCUUGAUUUAAUGAUUCACAAGUAUUUAUUUCUUAUCAGGGUGACAGUUAAUGUAUUUCCAGGCUAGGUAAGAGCUCUUGAUCUUCUUUGACUUAUAACUGCUUUUAAUUGCUUUGUAACUGACCGAUGGUACAAUGCUUGCACAAGCAGUGUGUUCAUUUCCAAAUCAGUUACUGCAAUAGGUACCAGGUGCUUAAAACAGGUAUUUUAAACUGGAACGUGGGCAGUUACAUUUUUUCAAAGCUUAUGAAGUCAGUAUUAUGGUACUCAUGAAUGUUAUCAGUGAGGAUUAUGGUCAUAAAUUCCACACCCCUUCUUGAAUCUAAGAUCCAUCAGUCGAACACAGGACCUGGUACCACCUACCUGUCACAAGAGUGAAGACCGUGCCGUAGCAGUGGGAUGUAUCACAUACCCCUCCAAUUCGUGAUCCUCAGGGAGGCUCAUCCUGCCUGGCUUAGUUAGUUACCGAGUCUGGCACUUGACCUCUUGAGUAAUGGGAGGAGGCCCUACUGAGAAUUUUGAGAGUGUGGGACAUGAGUGGAUAGUUUAAGGAUUUCCCUCAAGCUUUCCUUCCCUGACUAACUUAGAAAGAUAAGUAAUGUCUGGUGAUUUUAUUUAAUUCAGCAUUUAUUUCUUUGUUUAAUUUUUUUUUUAUUCUGCCAGAUUCUACAGAAAAUACCAAAUUGAAUGAGACAUAAGUUUUUAAGAAGCUUCCUUUCUGUAGUCAACCAAAUAAGUCUAAGAAAUAGAGCAAAGGCUACUUAAUUUGUAGUAUAAUGUUAGUGACAAGAUUGCAGUUAUCAUAUUUGUAUACAAAUGAUUUCCUAACAAUUCAUUUUUCUACUGUCAGGCUCUAAAGAAGUAGCUGGGGUAUCUGCCCUCCUAGGGGGAUGGGAAGCUGUCCUUGGUGGAGAGCAAAUAUUAACUUUAACUGGCAUGAAUACCUUCGAUUUUCUUGUAUUUGCCUUAAUUGAUACCAGAUUUGAUGGCUUUUUCUCCUUGUUUAUAAGAGUAAAAUAUAGAAAAUUUAAUCCUACUGUUUAAUGAGCACUCUUUUUACAAUCUUACGCAAAUUGUAUCACAGAUAAAACUUCCUCUGCUGCAGGCAAAAUAUUUCAUUUGCAAAUGAAAAAGCAAAUUGAGCCAAUACAUUGUGUAAGACGUUCGUAGUUCAGUGUAGAAAAUGAUGUUAUUUGAUGUCAGCUGGAACUGAGGUACUGUAACGGCUAUGAGAUGUUAAAAUAAUGGAGGAGUUUAGAGAAAUAUGACUGUGAAUUUUACAGUUGGAAAAAUAGAAUUUAUUUAUACCUUUCCGUGAUUUGGUAGAUGUACUAAGCCAAGUAAUCUUUAAGUUGGUAUCAGCUUUCAAUGGGUGUUUUCUUACAAGCUUUCUAAUAAUACCAUCAAUUCUUUCAUAGUAAUGAAUGGAUAAUUAAAGCGAAAAUAAACAGCGAUUUCAUUCUUUUCUACUUUUACCCUCUUUUUUAACAUUCGAUUAUGGAAAAUUUCAAUCGUAUAGAAAGCAGAUUAAUAUAACACAGCCUAUUUUCCCAUCCCAUUUAUCAAAGCAUUACCAGUCUUGCUUUAACUGUACCUCUACCAACCCCCACCCUGGCCUCAGAUUUAAAAGCAAAUCCCAGGCAUCGUAUAAUUUCAUUGUAAAUAUUUCAGUAUAUAUCUCCAUCAAUAAGUACUCUUUAAAAACAAAACAAAAAACCCCAUCACUACAGUACCUUUAAACAGACCUACUUCUGAGUGGCAGUAGGAAGUAGGGAGUGCUGGGGCCUAACUAACCAGGUGCUGAAGAUAUUAAUUAGCUCUAGGUACUUGGACAAGUCAUUUACCCUUCCUCUCUCCCAGCUUUCUCAUUUUUAAAAAGACGAGAUUCAACUAAAUUGUCUAACAUCUCAUCUGUCUCAAAAAUGUAUAAUUUAAAAUUAAAAGGACUUGCGUUUUGGUUUGCUGUAUCAUUGUUUUCCUUCUUAUUCUCUUUUGGAAGAGCUAUGAAGUAGCCAAAAGGAGAGAGGAAAAAUAAAUGAAGAAUCUGCAUUAAAAAAAAAAAAAUUAAACAAUCAGUCUGUGGAAACAUAGUGAUGAAUUUGCGUUGGGGGGGUCUCUCAAUCACUUAGCAGUUUAAAUGUACCAUUUGUAAAAUGUGAACUUUUUAACAUCCUAGCUUUUCUUUUGUAAGUGAAGAAAUUUGGCUUUUAAAAGUUUCUACUUUCAACAGUAGAGUGAGAUGGGACAAGUGGCCUCUUAGGAAAAUUAAUCUGUUUGUUGCAUUUAUGGGAAAUUGGAAUUUGGAAACUAGAAAUGAAAAGGUUUUGAGAUGGAUACCCGAGAUAUGACAAAGGAAAGAUCAAUAAGCUUUGGUGGAGAAAACCACUUUGAGAUUUUGAACCUAGAUGACUUCAAGUACCACUGAAAGGACACGAAAAAGUCAGAAAGGUGAAUUUGUUUGCUGAGGAUAUGUUGUGUUUAAUAUGACGAAGGUCUGCUGUGGGCCAUGCCCGGUAGGCCGUUAGGAGGUCCUGGCCUGAAGGUUUCUCCAAGGUAGGGCCGGAGAAACAGUGGACUACCUAGGAGAAUGGUCGCCACCUGUCAUCCUGUCCAGCCUCUCAGGUACAUUCCUGCAUCUAGAAUCGUCCAGUUACAACUUCUCAGGUGCUGACAUUGGGACUGCAUUGCUUCAAAUUCUGUAUCACUGUGUCAUUACUUUUCAUGUUUACUGAAGUUGUAAUAACUUUUUCCAUAGUUUGCCAUUCUCUUGCUUUUUCUCUAUUUAUUGAAGGACCAGUUAACUAAAGAACUUCAUUAAUUUUGUUACCCUUUACUAAGAACCUACUACAUACACUAUCAAACCAAAAACCAAACCCACUGCUGUCGAGUUCAUUCUGAUUCAUAGUGACCCUAUAGGACAGAGUAGAACUACCCCUGCCCCAUAGGACUUCCAAGGCUGUUAUAAAUCUUUACGAAAGCAGACUGCCACGUAUUUCCCCUGUGGAGUGGCUGGUGGGUUCGAACCUUCAAGCUUUUGGUUAGCAGCCUAGUGCUUUAAUCAGUGCACCACCAUCAGGGCUCCUCACAUACACUAUACUGGAUACUUUAUAUACAUUAUUUAUAAUCCUCCCAACAGCCCUGCAAGGUAAGCAUACCUCUUUUGUAGAUGAGAAAAACUAGGCUCAAGCAGGUUGAAUUACUCACCCAAGGUCACGCAGCUGUUAAAUGGCUGAGCUAGAAUUCUAACUGAGGUCUGUCUCUGAAGUCCUCGCUCUUACUAGGUUUGCACUAAUGUAUUUAAUCAUGUGACCUACACAGUACUGCUUAACUGAACAGUUGUUUGGAGCCUAUGAAGGGACUUUUCGUUAAGAUGCUUUUCUGCUUUUUUCACAUUGCAUGUAGCAGGUAGCUGUUACUGAUGAGUUCUCCAGGAGAAACGGAUCCGAACAUGUCCAUUUUAUCUGUUCAUUGAGAAAAGCUAUUAUUUGAAUAUUUUAACUUCUAUAUUCAUAUUCUCACACGUGAGACAUCAAAUUCAUUUAUUCCGUUUUAGUAAACAGUGUACUUUUUUCUCCAGAUUAUUGCUCUUAUUUCUCUUUUCCCUCUCUCUGCCCCCACAAAUAAAUUACCAUAAGAUUAAACCUUUCUUUGAUGUGUAAGGAUAGAAAAGCAAAAUCUGGCCUUGAAAACUAAAAAAUUGCCUUAGUUUCUAAAAAGAAACUAAUUUCUUUAGGGUUGGAGGGAAAAAAUUCCAGAACAUACAGUUUAUGAACCAUCCAGAAAGUUUCUACCUGAAUUCCAAGUUUUUUAAAUACUCUUUUAAAUAAGUUUUUAAUAUAUUAGUAAACUUCUUUUUUAUAUCACUGUAAGAUUUAAAUAUAUUUAAAUAUAUUCUUUAAGCACAUGUUUUAAUGGAGAGGGAUGUUUAAAUAGGGCAUUGUGAAAUAAGUGAUAUUUUUACAUGCUAAUAGACUACUUGGAAAUUCUGGUGGCACAGUGGUUAAGAGCUCAGGUUGCUAACCAAAAGGUCAGCAGUUCGAAUCUACCAGGCAUUCCUUGGAAAACCGUAUGGCGCAGUUCUUCUCUGUCCUGUAGGGCCGCUAUGAGUUGGAAUUGACUCCACGGCAACGGGGAGGUAGUGGUAGUGAAUAGACUCUUGAUAUAUUUCCAGGAAUUUGUGAUGCGUAGAAAAGGCAAUCUAGGAUACUGUCCACACUUUUACUGAAUUAAUGGAAUUGGAUUUUCUUUAAAGUUCUUUGAAAAAAAGUAAUCUAUAAAGAUAGGAUUUUUGUUACUCCCAUCCGCAACAUGGACAUGUGAACGAUGAUAACGACAGUGCUUUGCCUGGCUUUGUAGAAACCAGCGUUCUGUUCUCACUGUCGCUGUUCCCACCCUAUUGGGAGGCAGAGACAGAGAGAACACCUCUUAGUGGAGCCGAUCGAGUUUUGAAGAGACACUGAUUUUUCCAUCUAGCUGUUGAAAACCAAUCUUCUUAGAGUCGUACCUCUUAGUCUGCUGAAGCAUUUAAAAGUCAGUGCCUCUUUACCUUGGGUAAAAAAAACAGUCGCCAUCAAGUCAGCUGUGACUCAUGGCAACUCCAUGUGUCAGGGUAGAAUUUUGCUCCGUAGGGUUUUCAGUGGCUGACUUUUCAGAACUACAUUGCCCGGCCUUUUUUCCAAGGCCUCUAUGGGUGGACUCAGACAGACCUCCAACCUUUGGGUUGGCAGCCAAGCACAUUAAGCGCAUCAACUCUUUCCACCACCCAGAGACUCCAGCUUGGAUCGGCUGAUGAUAUUUAACAUGAGUUCACAGCAAUGCCGCACCCUCCUUCCUGUCCUCGUCCCUUUCCCACCUCCCAUUCCUAAUCUCCACUCAUUCUGUGUCAGGAAUCUACAGGGUAGGUAAUGUGAACCUGUAAAGGGCAGUGGACUGGGGGGUGGGGAACUGCUGGAGACAGGAAAUAAUCCAUUCUUAAAUUUUUUAAAACUGUUUUCUGUUAGCUACAGAACGCUUUGUUCAAAUAACAUUUGAUCCCAAACUCUAGAACAGGUAAAAGGUGAGCUGCUCUCUUUGGAACAGGAACACAAAGCCCUCUCCUCUAGUGGCCCCCCCCGCCUUCUGAGUAAAGGUAGAGAGGGAGAGUGGAAAGUGGAGCCUUCUAAACAACUUCCGGGAACACCAUUUGAAAAGCACUGCUUUGCGCUGAAGAUGUGCGUUUUGGUGUGGCAUGCAAGCUGAGUCCAGUUUAGGGAAAGAUGGAUUUUCACUGUUUGAAAGCUCAGCCCCCAGACCAUGUUGUUGUUGGUUGCCGUUCAGUUGAUUCCGACUUGUGGCGGCCCCACGUGUACAGAGUACAGUUGCUCCGUACAACUUACUAGGCCGUGACCUUUCUGAAGCAGAUCGCCAGGCCUGUCUUCCUCUGCGCCUCUGGGUGGUUUUAAACCAUCAACCUUUUGGUUAUUAGUCAAGCACCUAGCCAUUCGUGUCACCCAGGGAACCCCAGAGCAUGUAUGAUCCUUAAGAGGAAAACAGCAAAUUUCGUUUGAGAGCUUAAUUGUGUAAGACAUCAAAAAGCAUAACUUAAUAAAUUUAAAAUUUUGAAUAACCAGACUGUUUGUUUUUCCAUGUUGUUUUCCUGUUAAGAUUGCCCCUUUCCUUAACAAGAGAUGGAGUCUCCAAUUUUUAUUGCUUUUGGGAAAUGGCAUCAGUACAGGAUACUUGCUGUAUUUACUAUGAGUAGAUUUUAAUCAUUACAAUUUCUCUGAUGACUCUUGAGCCAUGGUGUAUAUCAGUUGUUAAUUUUCUUUUUUUCCUUAGGUAACAUUGUAUUUAAUACAUCUACCUUAUAAAUUGCAUAAUGGGGUUUACAGAUUUGUCAUCAUUCUGACCUAUCUUUGGAUCUUCUGUUAAAAAAAUACGAAACAGGGACUUGCAGCAAGAAUAAAAUAGCAUAGAUUUUUAGUCUCUCAAAACCCCUUUAUGUGCAUCACCACUGUGUACGAAGAAACUUCCCUAUUCUCAGAUAGUAUCCUUUUGAAUAAUGAAGUACUGAAAGGUGGAAGUCAGGGGCCUGUGUUUGGUUGUUUUGAUAUCAUAAAUGAUGACAUUGGUGGAAAUGGUGUUGUGUGAUACUUAGUGAAAAUAAAACCUCAGUAUUUAGGAAUUCAAAAUAGUUUGAAUAAGAAUGUAACCAAGUUGGCCCACAUUCUGUAGUGCAAGUUGAUAAAUAGUAAUCAGAAGAUUACGAUAUAAAACUACUAAAUAAACUCUGACUACACAGAUAAAACAACUCAUUAUGUAAAACCACAUUUAAAUCUAAUAAUUUAACAGGUAGCAUGUAGGGAAACCCUCCUAGUCAAGAUUACAUGGCAAAGUACAAUUUACAGUCCAGCGGAUUUGCAUCAGCAUUCUGCAGCUGUAUUCAGAGAUGAGCUUUUCAGUAGUUUCUAUAAACUGUCCCCUGUGUUUUAUCGGAUAUAGUAGUUAUAUCACAAACUCAUUGCCAUCAAGUUGAUUCCAACUCAUAGCAACCCUAUAGGACAGAGUUGAACUGCCCCGUAGGGUUUCCAGUGAGCAGCAGGUGGAUUUGAACUGCCGACCUUUUGGUUGGCAUCUGAAUUCUGAACCACUGUGCCACGAGGGCUCCGGUUACAUCAUAAGCCAUUGGAUCUCACGCGUAGCUACCACCCGUCUGUCAGUGGAGGUUAGCAUGUUGCUGUGAUGCUGAACAGGUUUCAGCAGAGCUUCCAGACUAAGAUGGACUGGGAGGAAAGGGCUGGUGAUCUGCUCCUGAAAACCAGCCAGUGGAAAACCCUGUGGAUCUCAGUGGUCUGACCCACGGCCGAUCACAGGCAGAGCGAGGACCAAGCAGCGUUUGUUCAGUUGUUUGUGAGGUCACCCUGAGUCCAGGGCUGACUGGAAGGCCGACUUGAAGGAAGCUGACAACUCCUUAUUACUCGAUUAAUUCAUGCUUUAAGAUUGUGGGCUGAAAGGUGCCGUUAAAUGCACAUUACUGUUUAUUAUGUGAAUACUCUUCAUGUUUUAACAGGCAAAAAGCAGAAUAAAAGGAAAAAAAGAAACUAUAACAAAUAGUAACAGCAUUUGAAAGCAGAUUUCCAAAAGUGAUGAUUGCGUUGGACUUUAAACAAAUCUUUCUAUUAGAUGGAGCCCUGGUGGCCCAGUGGUUAAAGGUUGGCUGCUAACCAAGAGGUCAGCAGUUCAAAUCCACCAGCUGCCCUUUGGAAACCCCGUGGUGCAGUUCUACUCUGUUCUGUAAGGGUCGCUAUGAGUCAGAAUUGACUUGAUGGCAACGGGUUUAUAUUAGGUGAGGUGCUUUAAAAAAUUUUUUUUUUUUAGUAUUUAGAAGGCUUUUAUUAUGUAAGUGCAUGUAUCAAUGUACCAAUUAUGGAUGUUAGUAAAUUGCUAUUAUCAGUUUUGCAACAACUCUCAAUAUUUUUUUCACUUUACUUGCUUUUCUCUGUUUAGUACCUGAGAAUGAUGCUUACUAUUACUGUUAUCUUGUCCCAAUUUAGUAGUAGUUUUUCUCAAUUUUUAGUAUUUCUAUUUCAAUUGAAGUGAUUUAAAUCCUUUUUAAAGCCGCCCUCCUUUUUUACCCCUAUAGAGAUGAAUUUACAUAUGGAUCCAUUUCCAUAUAACAGUAACACAGAGACUCCUUUUCUGUCACUAUUUUCUUGCAGGUAAUAAUGAAACUAAUAUGUAUGUGUGUCUGAUUCUUACAGAACCUUAUAUGUGGUUCUGUAAGAAUUAGACGUUGUUUUACAUCGUUGUCUUAGUCAUCUAGUGCUGCUAUAACAGAAAUACCACAAGUGGAUGGCUUUAACAAAGAGCCAUUUCUUUCCUCCCAGUCUAGUAGGCUAGAAGCCCAAGUUCAGGGUGCCGGCUCCAGGGGAAGGCUUUCUCUCUCUUUACAGCACUGGAGGAAGGUCCUUGUCACCAGUCUUCCCCUGGCCUGGGAGCAUCUCAGCACUGGAACCUCAGGUCCAAAGGAUGCGCUUUGUUCCCGGCACCGCUUUCUUGGUGGUUUCAGGUCCCCAAUCUCUGCUUGCUUCCCUUUGUUUUUAUCUCUUGUAAGAUAAAAGGUGGUGCAGGCCACACUCUAGGGACGCUCCUUUAUAUUGGAUUAGGGUUGUGACUUGGUAAGGGUGUUACAAUUCCACCCUAGUGCUCUUUGACAUAAAGUUACAAUCACAACAUGGAGGACAGCCAGCGAAUACUGGGAAUCGUGGCCUGACCGAGUUGAUACACGCAUGUUGGGGGGACACAAUUCAGUCCAUGACGGUUGUGAUGGAGAUUGGUGAUUAUGCUACAACUAAAAAAGUCAAACACUAAAAUUUUCAGUUUUGAUGCCUUUUAACGCUGUAUUCAUACACCGUAUUUUACAUAAAUGAUGUGUACAUUAUAUGUUUUUUUCCAACUGCGCGACCCCCUCACACAUUAUUUUCGUAGGUGUGUUAUAUGUGGGCAAGUUAUUUAUGUGAGCACGCUAUUUGUGGAAAAUACGGCUUGUGAUAAGAUGUUAAUGGAAGUAAAAAAUGUGACUUUUUGGUGCAAGAAUUCUACCCACAUAAGUAUUCAUUCAACAAAUAGUUACUGAGUGCCAUUUCCUGUAUGCCAGGCACCGUGCCAGACACCUAGGACACUGCAGUGUACCGAACAAAAUCUCUUUCUCAUGAGCAUACCUUUUCCCUCAGCUGAAGAAGUAGACUAGCUUCAUAACAGUAAACCAAAACAAAAUGAUUUUAUACAUAGGAAAAAAUACCCCACUGUGAAAGUCAGCAGUUGAAAUGUUAUCCUGUGUGAAGCAUGAGUCCUGUUUUCUGUGUGGUUCCCUAUAAAUGGUGACAGAGUUCUUAGAGGAGCUGAUGAAAUGUUGUAAUGCAGAUUCAUGUUCAGGACUAGUUUCAACGGUAAAUAUGUAUGUGAUUUUUUUAGCCUAGUUUGGCACUGUAAAUUGCUUCAUUUUUAUUUUAUUAAAUAAAUUGAUGCAGAUUUGUACGGGCUGAUGGCAUUGUACUGGCUGUAACUAACCAGAAUAUAUGCUAGCUGAAAUGUUGAAAUUAUCAUGUAGUAUUUAGGAAUCAAGAAAACAGCUUCUCUUUGUGUGUGUGUUUUUUUUUUAAACAUCGAACCCAAUGAUGGCUUUGUUUAAUACUCCCAAGCAAUUCUGCCCAAGGGAAAGACAGUUAACAGAAUCAGAGUAAAAGAAAAAUCUAGCUCAUCAGUGGUCUCCUUUUGUAAAUUUACAUCCCUCGAGAAAAGCUAAUUAAUAGAAGUACAUCGUGCCUUGCUUUUCCCCAAGAUGUAAAUUACAAGAAUACACACAGACUAAGAGUGGUAAUUGAAAAAAAAAAAUCUCAUUUGUAAGGAAAAAGAGAGAUUUUCUUUUUUUCUAAUUUGCCUUUAAGAUACAUCUUCAGUAUUAUAUGGAACUAUUUCUAAUGUAGUGGAAACCAUUUUCUUUGAACACACAAACAUAAAGAUUUCCAAUAGUCUGUAGCUAAUAUGCACUGUCUGAAGCUAAUAGAUUGGAUAGCUUACCACUGCUGUUUGAGCAAAAGUUAAUGCUUCUGAGACCAGCUAAUACACUUAAUUAUAGUAUAUGAACAGUGGGUAUUCUGCUUAUUUUUAUUACAAGCUUUAUCCACUGUGCAAUUUUCUUACAACGUGUUGACAAUAAUCCUCUUUAAGCUAGUGCUUAAAUAUUUAUUGAAUGUGGUAGCCAAGAAGCUAUGUUUAAAAGACACGUAAAAACUGAUGUCUCGAUAUGGCGUGGCGUGCAGCUGCUUACCAAAUAACAUGACCUGGGUUAUGGCCUAUCUCAAACUUUGUAAUAAUAAGUAAAAUUUCAAUAUUGAGCUGGAAUGCUAAAGAAAAUAAAGUUUGCAUCCCCAAAAUAACUCAAUUGUGCAUCAGCUCUACUAAACUAGCCAAAAUCUAGAGUAAAAAAUCUUGAACACGCAAGAGAUUCUCCAAGAGGAUCACCUCACCGUGUCCAAAGGAGUUUCGACUAUAUUAUAAGGCCCCCCAUUUUUAAUAGUUCUACAGUUUCAUUUUAAUAUGAAAUUUAUAUGUAGGACAUAUAUUUUAUAGUUUUUCCCUUCUCCAUAUAUGUAAACUUAUAUAAAUUAGGUAAAGACAUAAAAGUUGAAAGGCGUGAGGAUGUACAGCUGAAUUCAGGAAACACUGGUGCAUUGGGGGUGUGUGUGUUCAGACAAAUAGUAGCAAUUGCGAUGUGAUAAAGAAGAAAAAUACUGAAGAAAAUUUUCUCAGGGUAAAGCUCUAUUAGCACCAUUUUUUCCCGGUACCCUCUGUGAAGCAUCCGAUUUUUAAAAAAUGUAAAAUAAAGCAGUUACACCCAGAAUGUUAGCUUAUUAAAGGACCUUUUAUGACUGUAAAUUAUUGCAUCAUUUGUAUGUCCAGUAUUACAGAGUCAGAGUACAGUAGAACCAGAUAUUUCCCUUGAAAUCAGGCUUGAUUUCUUGCCUACUUUCGUUAUUUCCCCAAAACUCUUGUUUUUCUCAUUAUUGUUUUUGUGCUGGUUGGAAUUAAAAGAAGUUAUUAUUUCUAAUAAUUAAGCCAGACUGCUUUUUUUAAACAGAAUCUGGCAAUUCUGUCAUUUGUAUCUCCGCCUCCAAUUUCUUACCUUAUAAUUAUUAAUUUUUAACUUGUGUGUGUUUUAAGGCAAUAGUAAUAGUUGUAGCGCUGGGGGGAGAUGACUGGAUAGGAAUGGCAUUAGUAAAAUCAGCUGGGGGUCUGGUGCUGCACUGGGCACUUUACACAAUGCUCACUGUUAACUCCCAGGUACCCCAAAAAAAACCCACUGCCGUCAAGUCGAUUCCGACUCAUAGUGACCCCAUAGGACAGAGUAGAUCUGCCCCAUAGAGUUUCCAAGGAGCGCCUGGCUGAUUCGAACUGCCGCCCUUUGGUUAGCAGCCGUAGCACUUAGCCACUACGCCACCAGGGUUUCCACGCCACCAGGUAACAAGUUGUUAAUUCUCUGUUUCAGGAUAAAAAGCUUGGAGAUAAAAUUUAAGUGGCUUUGCCUGAGGCCUGUGUCACACAUGCAGUAAGGGGCAGUUUUAAUCACCUCCUCUUCACCCCAUGGGUGAGGGAGGGAUUGCUGCACAAGGGUUAUAGGAAUGACCAAACACUUGACACGCGACCUGGGCAGAAGAGAUUGCUGCAGUUAAUUAGUCACAUAUGCUCUCUGAUGGGGGAAGAAGACCGCCUGCCGCACAGGGCCACGCGGGCCUUGUGUCUGGAACAGAAUGAACAACCAGGGGCUGUGGGAGGCAGGCUUUGUAGUUUCAAGAGUGUGGAGUUCCCCUUGGUUCCCACAGGUUGGAUGUGAUUGCCUUGUUUGAGUAAUUCCAUGGGCUGGCAGGGAACUGAAAUCUGCUGCUUAGGGAUAAGCAGGAACCACACAGGCCCAUUUGAUAGCAUUCUUAUUUACAUGUCUAGAAUUUUCUCUUCUUUCAGGUCUCACUCCAAAAGAGUCCUUCCUUGACUGUGCUACCAAAAAUUGACCCUUUUGACUGUUCCAUGCAUAGUGGUUCCCAGGUCAACCACUUACUACCUGUGUAAUUUUUCCAGUGUGCUUAAUGUUUCUGUGCCACAGUUUGCUAAUCUGCAAAAUGGAAAUAUUUUAAUAGGUUAGGUUGUAGUGAGAGCUGAAUGUAUCAAUACAUGUAAAGCACAAAUUGUAAUAGUCCCUGGCAUGUAGUGAGCACCCAGUAAACAGUCAGUCUCUAAUUCCCAUCAUCAGCAUCACCAUCAUCAUUAAGGGUGAAAGUAGUAGCGUAAACCAAAUGUUGUAGACGUCCUGACAAGGGAGAGAUCCCUGAGGCCCUGGAUUAUCACGGAAAGCUUCCUUUUAAGGAUGAAACUGAGUGAAAAUCACAGCCUCUGUGUAGACUCUUGCUUGUUUCUCUCCAACAGGCACACCAUCUUCCUCCUUUGGUUUCUACAGUCCUUUUGGUUCUUCUUUGUUGAUACUGACCUUGAUCUUCCUUGUAUUGUAGACUGUGUAUUCUCACAGAAGAGGUGGCCUUGCAUCUCUGCAUCCUGGCAGUAUUGUACCCUACACACUGGACAGUGACCACCUACUUGAUCAAUAUAUAUAUAUAAAAAAAAAAAAAAAUCAGAGUUGCCAUAAAAUCAACAAGUUUAAAACAUUCUCAGUAUGGCAGCGGGUGCAGUUUGAGCACAGUGGCUCCAAAGAUCAGUUGCUGGAAAUGGUCAAGUUGGACCAGUGAGGGGCAGAGUAUUAUGGAGUCUUGAGUUGGCUGUAGAGUCAGUUUAAUUCAACAGAUAUUUGGAGAGCGUUGCUUUGUGCCCGUGUCUGAGCUAAGAUCUUGGGAGCAUAAACAUGACCCAUCACCUCUACCCUUAAAGUAUUUUAAGUUGAUUUAUCUGGGACAUAAAUGAGUGGAGAAGAGCAAGAAAGAUAUCCUAGGCAGGCUUCAGCAAGAGAAAACAACUAGAAGCAUAGAGUUGAGAAGUUUCAAGAAUUCAGUUUGUCUAGAAAAAAAGGUUUGUUCAUGCUGGAGCAGGAAAAAAUGAGGCUGAAGAGAGGGGGCCCAAAUUAUGGAGUAUUUGGGAUACCAGAACUAAAACAUGGGCUUUAUUCUAUAAACAUCAAAGCCUGGGGAAGGUUUUAACAAAGAGUUAGCAGAAGUAGUAUUCAGAAUUAGAGAAUACAUUUCUGUCUUUUUUUUCUAAGUUUGAAAAGGUGUGAAUUAAAAAGAACAAAUAUUCUCAAAGUAUGUGUCAGGCACUUUAACUAGUUAGGCGAUUUUGAGCUGUUAAUAGUUGGUGCUAAGUAAAUUUUACAGUAUUGUGAUAGGCAUUGGUGGCAAUCAGCCAUUCAGGUUUUAGGCCAUGUAUUCUUUACUUAAAUAAUAUUUAAAUUUAAAUGUUUCUUUUUCAUUGUAUUUUAUGCAUCAGGAGCAUGAUAUAUUCUUGAAGUAUUUAGUAAAGUAGAUAUUGUUGCAUGUGACCCAUCUCAUAUAUAAAUGUAAAAGAGAAGCUUAAUUGAAACAUUUGGUUUCAACCAUACUCAGAUUGAAACCAUAAAAGAAUCCGAAUGACUGUAGGUGUAUAGUCAUCAGACUUACCCCCGUAGCUACAAAUUUUCCCUCAACUUUAUCUCAUUAUUCGAAGACUAUACUUGGCAAGCAUUUUUGAAUACUCACCACACCACACGAUGGUUAACAAUUGUCUCCAUUUUAAGGAAGUCAUGAAUAUUAUUAGAUUUGCUGCCUCCAAAUAAUUGAGUGUUAAUUGGUUUCGUUGGCAAGGAAUUAUGGGUAAAAUACAAGACUUGGAAUAGGUGCUCAGUAAUACUUAUAAAUCGGUUGAUCAAAACAAAUGUUUUUUUAUUUAUUGACAUUGAGUUUGUCAUGUUUUGCUUUUUAUGUGUGUUUUUUAAAAAAUAAUCCCUGUUAUUUACAUAAGAAGCUUCUCUAGAUUCUAAACACGAGACUCUGUCCCCUGUGCAGGUUCCUCACGCACACUGCAGAAAGAAGCCAGGUGUCUAAAUGCCUUACUAAUUGGCCAUCACAAAAUGUUACUUGGCAAAUGCCAGGAAUCCAAGGACUAAAGGGACACAGAGUGUGUGUGUCAUAGCCCCUGUGCCCAGAGACACUUCCAAAUUCAUGGGUACCCUACCCUCCAGGUCUGAACCCUGGAAUUGUGCUAGGGAUUGUCAUGGAUGAAUGUUUUGAUCAAGGCAGACCUGGGAAAUGGAAUUAGAGUUUUAAGUGAACCAUUGCUGGCUAGUUGCCCAAAGCCUCUAAAACCCCAGGAAAUUAUGGGAGGAAGUCUGGGAACAUCUGGAACAAAUUAUAUACACUUACAACGACCCUUCUCCAGCCUACCGUGUAGUAGCUGUCUUGACCCACACCCUUGAGCAAUUUAGAACUCCCAUCAUAUGACACUAGAUUUUGAAAAUGGAAAGAUGUACUUUUAAUGUGUUUUAGUAGAUUAACACCUUCAACCAAAAUGCUUUGUAUCUCCUAUCCCAUCCCCCAAUCCAGAUGUGUAACUAAAGGACCAUGGCUCUCUCAAUGAGUAGCCCAAUUUCUUUUUAACCUAAGAUUGAAGCCCACUUUUUCUCAGCGAGUUGCCAAGGGAGCCAGAGAAGCUGUACUUAUUAAUUCUAAACAUUCUUAUCUUUUUUUAAAAUAUAUAAUGUAAAAUAAUGACAUGCAUUAUAUCCAUGUUAACAUUUCCACUUCAAAAUAUAAACAGACCCAGGUUCAUAUAGUAUGAACAAAAAUCUUUUAGCAUCAAAAGAGAAAAUUGUGUUUCUUGAUAGAAAGGAAGUGGUCACAGCUCACGGCAGCCAGACCAAUCUGUCAGUGCUUUGAGAUAUAGAGUUGUUGGUGAGAUACUGAGAUAAAGGAUGAAGUAAGAUCAGCCUAAAUGUUUCAGUCUAGUUAGGUUGAUUUGUAUACUGCUUAGAAAAAUUUCACUUUCAGGAGAGCAGUUUUCAGAUUUUAACUAAAUAUAAAAAGCUUGAGUUUUGGUUGGACUUGGUUUUUUUUUUUUUUUUUGAUGUCUCGAAGGCGUUUUCUGUCAUUUCAUUCCCCUAAGUUCCUGCUCUUCCUGGAACUGGCUCUUGUUGACUCCCAGCCUUGUAGCUGAAUAUUUAAAUCCUGAGAGACUAGCUUAUUUUCAGACUCGUUAGCAAUCUGCAGAAACAAGCACAAGAAAUUUGAAACACCUAGAGAUUAUUUUUAAAACCUCUUGCUGCUGACAUUUUAGCUGGAAUUCUAAAGAGAGAAUGGGCUAUCUAGACACUGAGCCAUGGUGUAAAAGCGCUGGGGUUUUUAGGCUGACUUUAAAGCCACUGAAGUCAUUUGACCUGGUGUGUUGUGUCAUUUGGGGAUUCGGAAGCAUCGAAUGAAAACUGAUAGCCACUCUGGUGUUGGCAGGCAGUCGUAGUGCCUGUCAGUGAAGUAGAAUACCACCCAUCUACUUGAACAUGGAUCAGAGAAUUCUGGAAGAAAAGCUUGAUGCAUAGAGGAUAUGCCACCAUCUCCAAGUAGGUAGACAAACCCAGAUUUCCUUAGGAGGGGCCCACUUACUGGUUCUGAUGCUCAUGUGACCCAAGCAGGCCCUCAACGUUGCUGCUAGGUAUUAUUGAUCCUGGAGCCCUGGUGGUGCAGUGGUUAAGAGCUUGGCUGCGCACCAAAAGAUCAGCAGUUCGAAUCCACCAGCUGCUUCUUGGAAACCCUGUAGGGCAGUUCUGCUCUGUCCUAUUGAUCACUAGGAGUCGGAAUCAACUCGACGGCAACGAGUUUGAGUUUUUUCAUUUUAUCAUUGAUCCUAUCUUAUUUUUAAGUUAUAGUGUAUUCGGCAUACCUUUACGCUAUUAUUUAUGAAAGGCAGUUGUUAAUUGUACAAUACCUGAGGCAAUAUUAUGAGCUAAAGAUUGAAAUAUGUCUUUUUUUUUUUUUUUUACUUACAAAAA